GAGGUAUAUUCUUAUCACUGUUGAAGUACUUCAGAGAAAGGACCUUCUUGUUGGUGUUUGUGUAUCCCGUUAUCUUUUGAGUUCCACGCCCUAGUCUCUACUUAUCUGCAAGUUGACACUGAUGUUCAUUUUCCACAUCAGAGCCACAGUUGGGUUUUUAACUCAAACAUGUCCUUUAAGUACACAGUUACGAAUGCAUAGAUUUGUUGAGUGUGCAUAAUUAAAGUGCUAAGUGGGCUUUCUUAGGUUAAUUAUAAUGAAUAUGAACUCGUUAGGUGCAAAGUUCUGAAUGACCAACCCUCUUCUUCUUCCCAGUGAUCAAACUUAGUUAUCUCAAAUUUUGAUGUUUUCUUGGGAAAGGUCUAAUGCCAAUUCCCUAGAAUCCCUAAUAUUAAGCCAAUUGUCAGUGUAUGGCUUCCUACAUUCCACUCACUCAAUAAAAUGAGUUUUUUCUCUCCUGCAUUCUGCUUUUUGGAGAAUAUUCUUGUCAUCUUCCUAAUGGCUUGGGGAAUAUAAAUUUUUGAACGCAGGCAACAAGUGGGUUGGAACUCUGAUUAAGUCUUAUGUCAUGGAGCUAUUGAUGUACUGUUGAUUUUAUCCCUCUAAAUCACAUUGGACUUUCGUCCCCCACUCGUGUUUUGUAGGGUGAUACAUGGCUUUCUAGUUUUUAAAUCGAGUUGCAUUGCUGGUCUGAACCGUUUGUAUUUGAUUUUUUGUUUUAAAAACUGAAAUAUUUCAUGGUCGGAGAUGUCUUUGGUUGUAUACGAGCUAUAGCUACCAUGGGCUUUUCUUUCUGCUAUAUAAUGGAAUAAGCCUUUGCAGGUUUCUGUGUUUCGCCCUUUUUAACUGUAUUGGCCUUUGGGUAUUCUAGGUUUUUGGGUUGGACAGAAGGUACUGGUUCAUCCCAACUUAUUCAGAAGAAGAUAUACGAAGGAUACCUGCCCUACAGGUCUUGAAUAUCCGUCGAAACCUGACUUUGAUGCCCAAGAAUUCUGAACCUUGUUCGACAUUUUGUAAGAAAACGGGUUUCUUCCCUAGUCGAAGCUACAGUGGAGCACCAAAAGCACGAUUUUUUCACCCUUUAAUUUGCAUGGUUAUUGAUUUGGGACUGGUGCAGCCGUCUGGUGGCAACAACUCGAGGAUGAUUAACCUGGUUGGAGUGGAAGCCCUUGGACCGCACAGGCGAGGAUGCCUUGACGAUCUGAUUUGCUGACACGUGUUGAUUAGAACUCUGGGUGGUAGGUUGCAUACAGAAAAGAUCCCGUUGAGAUGGUGGCCAUGUUUGAUGUUCUUGUAAGCUUUAAUUGUAGUUUCACAAAGAUGUAGAUAGUCUAUCUCAGUAGCUAACACGUAAUGAUGGUGUAACCCUUGUGAUCACUUGUGUUGGUGCCUGGAGAAAUCAAUUAGAGGAGAAAUGUUUUCUACUCUUUCAUGUAUUACGUACGCUAAAUGUCAGGGCCUUCAAUAUAAUCCUAGUUGUCGUUUUAAUUUUAAGUUCUGAAGGCGAAUGCAAAAUGAAAAUGUUACUCUUAUAGGAAGAUGGAGCUCUGCCCACGAAAAAACAAGUCAUUUUUUCCCCUUCUAUCCACGUCUAUCUUGGAUUGCUAUUCUAAAAAGUUUUUAUUAAAAAAAUUUAUAUUGAAAUAUAGUGAUUUAAUAUAUGUAAGAAUCAAAUUCAGCUUCGUAUAUGAAUCAAAUUCAUUUGUAGCCCAAGAAGUUUAUGCUUCUAGCUAGGACAAAAUGUUUCACAAUUCUUGAAUCCUUUUUCGGCAUUAAUGGCUCGUAGUUAUCAUGAAAUUGGAGCUAGGCAUUAUGUUUUCAAAAACUGUUAUCCUGUUUGGAUUGCAGUUCUUUAGAGCGUUUAUUGUUUUGACAGGUUUUAUAAAAAAUAUCUAUAUAUAUAUAUAUAUUCUGUAAAUAUAUCAAAAUUUUUUCCGAAGAACACUCAAUAAAACUUUCCCCAAAAGCUGCAAUUCAAUUGGGAGCGUGAGAAUUCCAUGCAUUAAAGGAACGUUCUGCAGACCAGAAGAAGACAUUCUUAUUAAUAUUUCACUUUUUAUUUUGGAGGCUGAAAAACGCAAAUACUCCUGUAGAGUAGUACUUAAGUGGCAAAAAUUUCAAAUCAGUUGAGUGACCCCCAAAAAUAAUAAUAAUAAUAAUAAUAAGGGUCAAAUGCAAAAAAUCCCCCACAAACUAUAUACCCAGUCGUAGUUUACCCCAUAAACUAUAAUAAUAGGCAAUUUGCCCCGUUAAAUGAUAUGUUUGGACAAACACUACCCUACUAUCUUAAAUCCUUCUUCUUUUUUUUUUUCUCUAUUAGAUUUUUUCAUUUUUUCCUUUUAUUUAUUUUCUCCAUCUCUCGUGGAACUAACCAACGUCUCUCUCUAAUGUGAAAAAACUUACAUCAAAAAUUUUAAUAUUUUUUAAACUGCUUUUUUAAUUUGUUAUUUGUUAAAUUCAUUCUUAAUAAUUUGUCAUAAACUCUUUAUUAUUACAAAAUAUAUGAAGCUUAUAUUGUAAAGUGUAUUAAUCUAGUAAUUCAACAAUUUAAGUACCUAUAAACUAAUUAGGAGUUCACAGUUACUCAACUACUUAUAAUAAAAGUAACAUAUUUAUAUCACAUAAAAAAGAAAAGUUAGCAAUUGUUAUUUGUAGUAAAAUAAAAAAUAAGAAUAAACAACAAUAGUAGUUCAUUUUUUUUUGUUAUUGAUGCUACUAAUAAUUGAUUAAUCAAUUUCUCUAUUUUGUUGUUAUAUAUUUGAAAAGUUCAUUUUCUUAAAUGACAUUGACUUCAACAUUUGGACAAAAAAUCUUGUAUUCCAUAUAUUUUUUUUAUAAAAUAUUGACAUACAAAAUUAAGAAAUAAACAAAUUUUGACUAAUCUAGUCUACUUAUUUAAACAAUGUUUAAAAAAAAAGGAAGAAUUUAAAAUAAAAUGAUAGGGAAAAAAGAAAAAUAAUAAUGCUUAAAAUAAAAGGGAUAGAUUUGCCCAAACAUAUUAUUCAAGGAGGCAAAAUGCCUAUUAUUAUAGUUUAUGGGUAAAACAAUUGGGUAUUUAGUUUGUUUUUUUGGAGUUUUUUAUUUAACCCUAAUAAUAAUUCAAGAGAUGCAAGGAGAACGAUCUGGAAUUAAAAGCAAAACACGUGUCAUCUCCUGUUUGGUCCGAUAGCCGAGCACCACUAUAUAUAUAUGCCUUAGGCCGAGGUUCUGAAUUCUAGUCUGCUCCCUCCCUUUCUAUCUUUGGAUCCAUCUCAAUUGUAUACAAAUCGCCUGAAGGUGAAUGAAAUUCUCUUCUUAUUUUAUUUAAUUUUAGCUCUUCUUCUUCUUCAUUUAUUUUUAUUAGCUUUCUGCUUCGUUUUGGACAUAGUUAUGGCAAUGAUCGUGUGAUUGAACUUUCUUUUAAUAGCUACGGAAUUGAGCUGUUUGCAUGCUUAAUUUGGUUCAGUUCUUCUUCUUCUUCUGCUCUCUCUCUGUCUCUCUCUCUUUCCGGUUUAUUCGUGAAUGCAUGGUAUCCUGUUAUUUGUGAACUGUUGUUAUUCUAUCUCUCGAUUUAUAUGUACCCGGUCAUCUUCAAUAUCUUGCAGUUCCUUGGAUAAUAACUGUGUGUAUGUCUCAAGUCAUAAUUUCUGUCAAUUUAGUUGGAAGAAACUGAGUAGUGGAAAUCAGGAGUUUUGAUGAUUUCUUCAUUUUGGGGAGCCUUAAUUGAUCUUUUUUUUUUUUGCGUUUUUUCGAUCGCUGCAGGAGCGUAAUGUCGGGUAUAUUUGCGGAGGGAGAGACCCUUUUGAUGACCCCUUCUUUACUCGCCCUUUAGGUGGCUUAUUUGGGUCCAAAAUGUCUGCUUCGGCUGCUCCUUCUGGUGAUCCAGUGCACAGCAAUAGGUUGAAGGCACCGAUUAUUGAGGAGCUAGAUAUUGAGGAUGAUAAUAUAUCUGGAGGAGAGGAGGAUCCCAGGGACUGCAUCUGCCUAAUCAAAAUCCAUUUUGUUGAGCACCCUGCAGGACCAAAUUGAUGGUAAAGUUAAAGCCCCUUCACCCAAUGAUCUGAAUUAGUUUAACGGAUAUUAUUUGUCUGUAAUCAUUUCGAUUUGUUGCUAUGAUUACUGUGGAGGUGUUGCAGAUCAUCAUAAGAGCAAAACUAAUAGCAAGAAUAAAGAACUAGUAUAUAGGUCGAUCGUAAUAAGUGGGGGAGGAGAACGACCCCAAAAAGGAAGUGUCAGCUUCCAGAAAGUCACUUAUGGAGGCAUAAAUGGGCUUACUACACUGCUUCAACAACCCGAAGAACAGGAAAUGAUGGAGUAAGUAAACUGCCCCUAUGCCUUCUCAUUUCUACACUUCUUCUUCAUCAGAACUUUUGGCAGUUGAGAUUUGUCUGGGUUCUGUAGAAGAUCUCAUAUUAAGGGUUCAUUUGGCAAUCAGGUGGUGUUGGAAGACAGAAAAAGAAGCUGAUAGUACUACUGGUCAAGCAACCCAAUCGUAUCUCUAAAGGGAUCCAUGACAAGGUAAUGUUUAUUUUGAUGUUCCGACUGAUAGCUUGCAGUUCUUGAAGGAAGAUAAGUUUUUGGUCUCGUGGAUUACUUAUUGUAUUACUUGUCAGAGAGCCGGUUAAAUAAUAGGGUUAUAGGUAAUAAUGAAGCAAUAGUUCUGGAAUUGAUCAUGAAGACUAUGACGACAAUCCAUGUCACAUACAGAUCAUAUCUUUUGAGCGUUUUUUAUAUUUGUUGAUGCUCAGUGGCUGCAUCAAGUGGCUUGUUUAUGACUCUAAGGAAAGUAAUUGAAUAGCACUAUAGCUUCUUUCAUGGUACAGGAUGAGUCUUAAGUGUUGUUUUUACUAUUUUGACUUGCUUUUGUUUCUGCGAUUUCAUUACUUGUUAAGUUAGUCAGAUAUCUGUUGUUGUUCUCGACUAGUAGAUACAUAUAUGAUGCUUACAAAUAUGACAAUGGCAGGUUAAGAGUUAUCUGCUUCUAGGUUGAUUUCAUAGUUCAUUUUUCUUAUAAACUGUACAAUAUGUGACUGAGAAUUAGUGUGGAAAUUGAAGUGUUUUGUCACACUUUUUUAGGGUCACUCAGUGACAAGGCAGCUUAAUGCUGAUGGUGAGGUGGACACAAUGCAAACUUUGCAUAAUUUAGAUGAAGGUUUGUUUUCCUGUAUAUGUUUGCUCUUCAUGUCUAUACUUCAUCAUGCUUGUUGGUUGAGGAUCUGUACGCUUCCAAUCCCUCUCAGAUGAAUUAGCGGGUUUCGAUCAAAGUUGGAGAGGUAGUGCUGAUAUGCAUUUACCAGGAUGGGAUAUGCCAUUGGACUUUCAUUCAAAGCCUGGUGAGUGAUGCACAUUAUUUGACCUGUUCAGGGCAAGGACUAUUCCCAUGUAUUGUCUCUUUUGCUGCAUAUAAUCAGUUAAAAGGAGAAAACUAUAGAUGCAUCACUAUGUCUGGGUGAAAGAUUUGUAACACCGUGUGAGUGCUGUUUUUUUGUUGCUGUGCAUGCUCGAAUCAUGCAGGUAUUGGUGGCAGCCGGCUUACCUCCUGGAGUGGCUGGGGUCAACCAAUUUGGCAGCAGCUCGGUAGAGAUGCUAGUUUGAGACCUGGUGCUCAAGCUGAUUCAGCUAGAGGAAGACCUAAAAAGACAGUUUCAAUUCCAAUAGAGUAGAUGUGUUGAUAAUUGGAUUUGAGAAUUUUGAGUAGUUGGACGGCAAGACGUGGUGCCAAUGGGAUCAUGCCUUCUCUAUUGGCCUGUAAGAGUUAUAAAAGCUGAGCCAACCCAUGCAACGUUUUCUGAAUUACAGCCCGUAAGUUAUUUGCUUUGAAGAGUGGGGUUCUGAUGCCCAACUGAUUGCUUGAAUAAUCUUGUUUGCUUUGAGCUAUAGUAGCAGAUCAAGUGGGAAGUUGGUUUGUUUUUUGGUCUGUGGUCUAUGUAAAUAGGCAGUGUAUUGUCGAUGCUUCUUUCACUGAACGUCAAUUUUAUCAUACUCUGGCAUGAAAUAUCAGGGUUUCCUCAAGUACGGCUAUUUAGUACUUGCGCCCUAAUUAGUAUUAGUCAAGACUCGAGAGAGAGGUUUGGCUAUUAUGGUAAUUGCCGAUUGGAAAAGUGAAGGCAAAACACGGUAACGUUCAUUCUGGCAAUUCUUUCCAUAUAAUUUGAUAGAAUGCCUAUAAAAAGAGCCCAAAGGGCCUAAAGAUCGAUGCGGGUGGCCAUUGUUGCUCAACUCUUAUUUCUUUUCCUUUUCUUUUUACAAAGUACAAAUUAUAAACAACAGAUUCAAGUGUGAAGAAAAAAAAAACUACUGCCAUCCAUUCGAAAGGGUUGGCGAAAGCAAACAGGAGGAUUCAAGAAACCUCGAAUCGAACUCUGAACUAGGAUUGGAACUAAUUGAAGAUGCUGUGCCCACGACAACACGAUCAAGCAAACCAGAGAAGCGAGAAGCACAUAAUGGCCAUGCAGUCUGCAGCACAUCUGGAGAGAGGGAAGUAGAUGCUUAGACUGGCUAGCCAAAGAAGCAGCUCAACACCGAGCACUCCAGGGUCCAAUGGAUGCACCAUCACUUAAGAGCUGUUAAUCGAACCGGGUAACUCACGAGUCGAGCUCGAUUUGGCUCGCACUCGACUUGGCUCGUAUUUCUCAGUAAACGAGUCGGGUUUGAGUUCUACCUGUACUCGUUUAUGAAUCGAGACAAGUCGAACUCGCUCAGGAACUAUUCGAUAGGCUAGCAAUACAAGGGAAGUAGUGAUUGCUGUCCUAAUUUUUCUUUUCUCUUCCCUUUUCCAUAGCUCGCUAAAGCUUGUUAAACUUGGCUCGUUAAACUCGGCUCGAUUUUCAAACUCAAGUUCGAGCUUGAAGCUGAGUUUGGCAGCAGUCGAUUUCAAAUGGCUUUUGAAAUUCGAAUUACUAAUCGAGCAAGUUCGAGUUAAUUUGAUAAAUGUUUGAGUCGAGUGCUCACUCAAUAGAUGUUUGAGUCGAGUUCGAUCAGCAGGUGUUCGAGCUCGCCUCAUCUCGAUUAACAGCUUCCACCAGUAGCUUUUAGAUAGCUUUUAGCCCCUUCUCUGUAUCCAAAAAAAAAAAAAAAAAACCACUCAUUCUUGGGAAAAGGUCUUACUGUUCACAUUUUAAAACUAACGGACAAAAAUGUAUAGCAUGUUCGGAUUGAAUUGUAAGUAAGAAAUUCAAAACUUCUUAGAAAAAUAAAAUUAAGAAAAAGGGUGUUGCCUUGAUAACGCUAUGUAACUUUGCACAUGAGCUCGUAUUCAAUAUUACAUCUGCAUACAAACAAAAGAAAAUUAUAUAUAUACUACAUCUCCAUCAUAAAAAUGAAAAAAUAAUUUACCAUAAGUAUGUGUUCAUGAGGUGUUGCACCAUCGCAGUGCACCCCCUUCAUCAUAGGUUGUGGGCUGACACUUCAUAUUCAGCUAACUUCGUGCAUUGAAUUUUCACGUACGUUAAAUGCCUUCCUUGGAAGGGGGUGAAGUAUUUUCAGUUUGGUUUGUUGAACUGAAAAAAAUAAUACAUAAAUAACCUUUAAAUUAAUCAAUGUCUUUAUAUAAAUACCAUGUUGAAAGUAAAUCCCUUUUUUUUCCCAAAAACUUAUUGUUUAUUUUCUAAUACAAAUUUAUUACUGUUUAUAUCCUUUCUUAUUUUACUACAUGAUUUAACUAGACCAAUAAAAAUACUUCUCACGUUUGAUUGUUUUAAAAUAAUUCUUGUAGGAAAGGAGUUCUCUUCAAAUUUCAAUUACCAUUUGUGAGAUAAGAAUGGUGAUUAAAGUGAGCUUUUUCUUUGUAAUCCAAGCAAGGUGUUUAUUUACAUAUUGUGAUACCUACUGGAUAUGUUAGCACACUUAAAUUAUAUAUUUAAUUUUUUAUGUACACACACACACACACAUAUAUAUAUAUAUAUAUAUAUAUAUUCAUAUUUUUAUAUUCUUGUAUUUAUAUAUUUUUCAAAUGAACUUCACUUUUGUGAAAAAAUUAACACAAGAUAUUUCUUGUUAAGGAGUUCCACACUAGGCACUCCAUAGUCAAGCCCAUUAAUAAUAAUAAUAAUAAUGAAAAAGAAGGGUAACACACAGGUUUGCCUCAAGAGUUGCCGACCUUUGGGGUUAAAUAUAGGAUUAGGUUUAAUUAACUAACUUCAAAAGUUUUGAAAAAAAAAAUUUCGGUCCAAAUCCAAGAAACAAAUUGUUCUCUCCGAAUCAAUAAAUGGCAUGGAGUUUCAUAAAAUUUGCCACUUAACACAUAAAUGAAGUCCUUUUUAACUCUUGGCAUCAUCUGACACUAACGGUUCAUUGAGUAAAAUUAAUCCUUCAACGGUGAUAGUGAGUGACAGUGUCGAUAUGUAGACGACCAAUGCUUCCGGAACCACUCGGCCACACAUUUAUAGUAUAAUUGAGGAGGUGAUUUUUAGUUGGUAACUAGACCGACCUGGAUCAGUCCUCUCUGAGAUGAAGUGAGGUGAACUCCUGUGUUCGAAGUGAACCUCCUCGUCCGAAGUGUGUGGCGGGGCUUCUCCCCUGAUAUCACUCCGACGAUCAAGUUAGUAUGAGAACCAGAAUAAUGAGAAUGAGUUAAUGAACAGUGUAUGCUUACUUGUUGGGAGUGUGUCUGGGGUAUUUAUAGAAGAGAGGUGGUCAAGACGGAAGGCUCAUGCUAGCGGGACCCACUCUCUGGCAUUACGGCUCUGUCUCCUGUCAGGAGGUCUGACUCUGACACUGUAGCCGCCUGGGAGUGAUGACGGAGGAUAUGGUGCAGGUGCCAUUAAGUGCCUCCAGUGCUUUUCAGAUAAAGUGCUGGUCCUGGAUGAUGUCAGGUGGGUUGACAUCAUCAGCGUGCAGCUGAGGCGGGGGUGCCGAGGUCGGCUACACAGUAUGCUAUGGAAACGGCCGAGCCCGAGCUCAGGGAUGAUGUCCGGGACACGGAUGAACUCCGAUGAGGGACGAGGUGAGUCCACCUCGGCCACUCGGGAUGGCCGAGGUGAGCAUCCUCAAUAAGCCCCCCAAGCCUCGGAUGCUCCGAGCAAGGGAGGUGCCGAGGCUUCCUAGUGCUGAAGUCAUGAAGAGUCGAGGCUCCGAAACCGCUCCGGAAGAUGCGGGGACUCGACACGUGGACGAGUCAGUUGAUAGGACGUGGUCACUGAUAACCGUCGCGUCGUGAAGUAGUGGGACGUUUCGUGCAGAAGGUGUCAGUCGAAAGGACGGGGCAUUAAUGAGGAGAGAGGGAGGCGUGACGUUUUGAAUUCGAUCGUGAUCGUCUUUUCGUAUUCUUGCCGCCUCUUCGGAUUCUGGCUCUCCUCUAUAAAUAGGUGGUCCCUUUCACCGCAUGGCCCAUCACUUUCUUUCUUCGCUUGUGACUUGCAAAAUUUGUGAGCGUAGCCGAGAUCAAUCCUGCCAGCCGAGAUCACAGCCGAAGUCGUCCACUUCGUCCAGUUCGGUAUACAAUAGUAAGUAUCCCUUUUUCUUCUUGUCUUGUCUUUCACAUAUGGCCAAAACGGCUAAAACCCACAAAGAAACCGUGACCCCGAGCUACCAGACCGAGGUGAGGGCGGAUUCUGAGGAAGAAGCGACGACGUCCAGUUCGGAGGGGUCGGCACAGGUUCCGAGGAAGGAUCGACCGAAGUGAGAGUCGGCGAGGCAGGCUCGGGAUUGGAAUCGUCCGAGAUGAGCGAGGGUGGUUCCGAGGUCGAGUACAAUACCGAGCUCGGGACCGAGAUACCCCAUGACGAGGGCGUGCCGGAGCCAGUUGCUCCAGUGGACGUAGCCAACAUCAAUUUCGGCCAGAUGCCGAAGUUUAGGAGUCGAGUGGGAAGGGAUAGGGCCGAGAAGGUGGUAGACAAGUACCCCUUCCGGCCGUGGUAUGAAGUUUUGCCGCCCGAGGUGGAUGACACAGCCGCGGAACCCCCCUUUGGCAUGGUGGCCGUCUACAUUCAACAGCUGGAGGCCGGGCUGAGGAUGCCGACGUCGAGGUUCCUCCGGGACUUACUUCGUCACUUCCAGGUGAGAAUCACCCAGCUCACCCCGAAUGCGAUCCGCAUCAUUGUGGGGUUUGAGAUGCUGUGCCGACAUCAGGAGGUGACUCCCUCCGUCGAUCUCUUCCGCCGAUGCUACACCCUCAAGGCGCACGCGACUGAUAAGGGAUGGUUUUAUGUUGGCAACCGGAACAAUGCCAUCCCGAAGUUGGUGAUCGGUGCUCCCAGCUCGAUCAAGAACUGGAAGCGCGACUACUUCUUCGUGCCCGGAGUGGACUUUCCGAGGGGUUUUUGGUGGAGGCCAAUUAAGGCGAAGGCCGACCCCUCAGCGGGGGAUGCCGAAGAGGAGUCCUUCCAGAAGCUGAUGAAGUCGGGACUUCGGCUAUUCAGCCAUGACUACCCCGAAGCCGUGCUCGUGGAUGGGGGAUAAGUCGAGCCGUGAUCAAUACUACCAAAGCUCCCUUCUUUUCCACUGAACUUGAGAAGCCUUGUAAUUUUCUUUCAUGACUUUUCUUUUCACUUCGGCUAAGGCAUAUGAUAAUAUUUAUUUCUUGUGCAGUGACUAAACUGUCGACCUCGUCGUCUCCGGCUCGUCCGAAGUGGCCAAGAGGCAGAAGAGGAAGAGCACUGACGAGACUCGGCACCUCCGCCAAAGAAGAAGAAGUCACAAGGACCAGCCGCUAAGACUCGGCGCCAAAGGCACUCCACCAAGGCUGGCCAGAGCAGCUCGGCCACUGCGGCUACUGGGUCCACCUCGUCUGUACCAGAGGGAGUUCCCCUUGGAGUUGUUAAAAGUCACACCUCCUUCUGGCCGAGGCAAGCAGCUGAAGCCUCGGUUAAUCCGGUGUCGGGGACCUCGCUAUGGAAUCGUUUCCAUAGCCCCCAGUGUUUCCGGAGACGAGAAGACGCACUCCGGCAAUCAUUGGUGUCCGAACUGGAAGAUUUCGGUCAACGACAGGUGCCAACACCCUCGGGUCGCUCAAGAGCUAAUAAUGCACUCCAUUCUGCCAAGGGAUUUGGAGUUCAUGAAGAAGCUGAGCCCGGCCGAGCUGGUUCAAAGUCUGAUGGUGACCACGGCUUCCACCUCAGCCUUCGCGGCCGAGAUGGCACACCGAUAUUGUGCUCUGGUCGAUGAGCAGGACACCGGCAAGCUACAGAAUCAGAUCUCCAAGUUGGAGAAACAACUGGCGGUGUCCGAGUCUGAGAAGGCCGAGCUUGAAAGGCGGCUUAAGGAGGCCGAGGUGAAGGAUGAGGAGGCCGUGGCUACUGUCAACAGUCUCAGAUCGGCUCUCGAAGAAGAGCAGAAGAGGGGGGACGAGGCGAAGAAGUCCCACAGCAAGCCCUUGACAGUGCUAGAACCUCGGCGUGGACGUUUCGGAGGUCUGAGGCCUUCACCAGGGAUCUCGGCCAACUACUCACGCCGAACUUCAUGUUUGGCUUCACAUCAGCCAUAGAUGAGGCUGCAGCUCAUCUCCUCCGAAGCCUUGGAGUCCUGAAAAAUCAUGCCAGUUACAACGAGGACUCCAAGGAGUUGUGCGACCGGAUGGCGAGGGCCUCCAGGCUGGAAGGAACCUGCCGAGGUCCAGGCCGAGUUCAACAAAUGGCUGUCCGAAAUCGACGAGUGUUCGAGGGGUUGAAGAGGAAGAAACUGGAGAGGAUGCCGGGGGAGACGAAGCCGGAGAGGGAAGUCGGGACAUCGGCAAAGAGCCUGGAGAUGAACACCCCGGCGGAAAGGAGGCCGAAGAGAUGGCUGCCCAGGAGGGAGCCAAGACCGGGGAUGCAGCCGAUACGGGGGUUUAGGCUUGUAGGCUUCAAGGGGGUGGCCGAGGUGAAGUGUUUAGUAGCACUCCGACCUCGGCCUUGUAUUUUUGUAAUACUUCUAUUGAAUGAAAGUCUGUUUCUUUUCAUCUCAGCUCUUUAAUUCUUGUUUCUUGCUUUGACUUCAUCCCUUGUUUGUCCCCCUUAUUUUUUAAUAAAGAUGCUGGGCAUCAUAUGUUGAAAAAUAACUAAAUGCUGAAGUCAUAACUUGACAAGAUAAUUGGAUGAAAUAACUGAAUGAAGUCACAACUUCAAGCAUAAUACAACCUAAGGUUCUCGGCGUGCCAAGACCUCGGCACUAAUGAGCCAUCUCGGUAACUCAGUUUACAAUACCCUUAGGGUCAGAUUCCACAACUCGGUAGGGCCUUCCCAUUUGGGCACAGUUUUCCUUGAGGCUCAGCUCGGCUGACUGAGUUUUUCUGAGAACCAAGUCUCCAGGGCGGAAUCUACGAUGUCUGACCGGGCAUUGUAAUAGUGUGCCAGUGUGUUCUUAUAAGAAGCUAUCCGGGCUGAGGCGAGGUCCCUUCGUUCUUCGACGAGGUCGAGGUCCAGCAGCCUCUCUUCGUCGUUCACCUCGGCGGCAUAGGCUGCCAGCCGAGGGCUGGGGGAUCUCAGCCGGGAUGACAGCUCGGCUCCGUAGGUCAGGGAGAAUGGGGUCUCUUGAGUCGCUGACCUCGGCGUGGUCCGAUAUGACCACAAGACACUGGGGAGUUCCUCCACCCAAGAUGACCCAGCUCGGUGUAGUCGGGUCUUGAGGCCAUGCAGGAGAGUCCGGUUGAAGUUUUCUGCUUGACCAUUGGCCUGGGGGUGGCCUACCGAAGUGAAGUGUUGUUUGAUGCCGAGGUUCUCGCACCAGGUCUUGAAUGGUUCUCGGCAAAUUGUCUCCCAUUGUCCGAGAUGAUGAUCUGAGGUAUGCCGAAGCGGCAGACAAUGCAUUUCCAAAAGAAUUUCUGAAUGGCCAGCCCCGAGAUGGUGCGAAGUGGCUCGGCCUCGACCCACUUAGUGAAGUAGUCCACAGCGUCACCAGGAAGGUAUAGCCCCCGACCGCUUUAGGGAAAGGACCUAUGAUAUCUGUCCCCCAUUGCUCGAAUGGCCAAGGUGAAGUGAUGGGGACCAUGAAAUUUGAGGGCUGGUGAUGCUCGGGUGCGUGGACUUGGCAGGAAGGACAGCCGAGAACGAGGUCCUGGGCGUCUUGCCGAAGUGAUGGCCAGAAGUAUCCAAGGAGCAUAGUCUUCUUGGCUAACAUCCUGUGGCCGACAUGAGCUCCGCACAGGCCUUCGUGGAUCUCGUGGAGGAUAUGACGUCCGGCCUCGGGAGUGACACACCUCAGCCAGGGGCCGAGGUAAGAGCGUUUGUACAAUUCUCCAUCGCGGAGAGCGUGUCGAGCAGCCUUGCGUUGUAUCUUCCUCGCCUCGGCUCGGUCUUCGGGAAGGGUUCCCUGACUCAGGAAGAGGAUGAUCGGGGUCAUCCAAUUAUCUUCGGAGUGGACGGGGCAGGCCACCUCUUCCACAUAUCCUGGUUCAUUCAGAACUUCCACUAAGACCGUCUUGUUGAGGUCCGAGAAUGAAGUGGAGGCCAGCCGGGAUAGGGCGUCGGCUCGCUUAUUCUGGGACCGGGGGAUUCUUUGGAUUUCGAAUGACUUGAAGUAUGCGGUGAGUUGGUGAACUUUGGAGAGGUACCUUUGCAUGGUCUCAUCCUUAGCCUCGUAUUCACCAAGAACUUGGCGCACAACAAGUUGGGAGUCACUGCGGACGUGGACUUGCUGGGCGCCGAGCCUUCGGGCCAACUGGAGUCCAGCAAUUAAGGCCUCGUACUCGGCUUCAUUAUUGGUGGCUGGGAAGCCAAAGCGGAGGGCGUAGGAGCACACCUCUCCCUGAGGUCCUUCCAGGAGAAGUCCGGCUCCGCUGCCUUCUCCGUUGGAGGAUCCAUCGACAUACAAUGUCCACUGGGGUGAGGAGGACACCUCGGCUAAGGCUGAGGUGGACUCCGGACCUUCCGUGAAGGUGAGCUCGGCAAGGAAGUCAGCCAAAGCUUGAGCUUUUAUGGCGGUGCGUGGCUCGUAGGACAAGUCAUAUUCUCCCAAUUCGACAGCCCACUUGGUGAGGCGACCAGAAGCUUCGGGUCGCACCAAUAUUUGCCGAACGGGCUGGUCAGUCCUGACCGAGAUAGGAUGGGCUAAGAAAUAGGGCUUCAACCGCCGAGCGGCAUGGACUAGUCCCAGCACCAGUUUCUCCACCUGAGUGUAUCGAGUCUCCGGCCCGCGAAGAGCGCGGCUGACGUAGUAGAUCGGCACUUGGGUGCCCUCAUCUCGGAUGAGCACAGCGCUGACAGCCUCGUCGGCUGCAGAGAGGUAGAGGUAGAGCUUCUCCUCGGGCCGAGGUGAAGCGAGAGUGGGCAGGUGGUGCAAGUACUGCUUCAGCUGGUCGAAGGCAGACUGACACUCCUCAGUCCAGGCGAACUGAUCAGACUUCUUCAGCACUUUAAAGAAGGGCAGGGCCUUCUCAGCAGAUUGAGACAAAAAGCGGUUCAGUGCGGCCAGGCGUCCAUUCAGUCUUUGGACUUCUCGGAGGUUCCGAGGUGGGGACAUAUCUUGGAUGGCCUUGACUUUGUCGGGGUUGGCCUCGAUCCCCCGAUGGGAAACCAGAUACCCCAAGAAUUUUCCCGAGGUGACGCCGAAGACGCACUUCUUGGGAUUCAGCUUCAUCCUCGAGUCUCGCAGGACCCCGAAGACUUCCCUCAAGUCUAACAGGAAGGAUGAAGUGGCGAGACUUUUGACGAGGAUGUCAUCCACGUAAGCCUCCACAUUACGGCCGAUCUGAUUCUUGAAGAGCCGGUUGAUCAGCCUUUGGUAGGUCGCCCCGGCGUUCUUCAGCCCAAACGGCAUGGUGGUGUAGCAAUAAACACCUCGAUCGGUGUAGAACGCCGUCUUCUCUUGGUCCUCUUCACUCAUUCCUAUUUGAUGAUACCCUUUGAAGGCAUCUAGGAAGCACAGGAUCUCGUACCCCAUCGCCGAGUCGACGAGGGUGUCUAUCCUCGGGAGGGGAUAGCAGUCUUUGGGACAGGCCUUGUUGAGGUCGGUGUAGUCUACACACAUUCUCCAUCCGCCGGUGUCCUUUCUGACCAUGACUGGGUUGGACAACCAAGUCGGAUAUUGGACUUCGUGGAUCAUCUUGGCCGGCAAGAGCUUGUCGACCUCGUCCGAUAUGGCCUUGCUGCGUUCGGGGCCGAAGUGUCUUCGCUUCUGCCGCACAGGUCGGGCCUGUGGGUUAACGUUAAGUUGGUGAGUCAUAAGCUCGGGUGGCACUCCGACCACUUCAUCUGCGGACCACGCAAAGAUGUCUCGGUGGUCCUUGAUCAGGGAGAUCACUUCUUCUUUCAGGGGUGAAGGGAGUCCGGCCCCUACUUGGACCACUCGGUCAGGCUUGGCUUCAUCCAAGACCACUUGUUCCACUUCAUCCCCUGGCUCAAGCCUGCUGGGCUCUCCUGCCUUGUGAGGGUCGAUGCAGUCUAUGGAGAGGACAGCCGGCCUCUUUUCUUCUGACCUCGGCGGGGGCUGAGGUCCGACUGCGGCUUGGAUGGUGGCGAGGUAGCAUUCUCGGGCGGCGCCCACGUCACUGCUCACCUCAGCCACCCCCUCUGGUGUUGGAAAUUUGAAGCUUAGGUGGUAGGUAGAAUAUACGGCUCUCAAGGCAUUGAGCGUGGGCCGGCCUAUCAGCAUGUUGUAAGGAGAGUCCGCUUUGACCACCGCAAAGCUGACAGGCACAGUUCGGCAACGGGGAUGACGCCCGAUAGUCACCAUUAAAUUCACCAUGCCUUCCGGGUGGACGACGUGUCCCCCGAAGCCGACAAGGGGAGUUCUGACCGGAGUGAGUUGUUCCCGGUUAGCUUCAAACUCUCGAAAGUUCGGUAGUACAGGACGUCUACCGAGCUUCCGGGGUCAACGUAGACCUUCUUGACUAUAUAAUUGUUUGUGAGGACCUCAAUCACGAGGGCCUCGUGAUUGCUGGAGGCAGCGGGGACAGGGUCGCGGGGACCAUAAGUUAUGACCUCGGACAGCCUCGAGCUCGGCUCGGCCACAUCCAUGCCGGCUUGGCGGUAGGUCCGCUUUCGGGAGCUCUGGCUGUCUCCUCCCGUGGGACCACCUGAGAUGGUGUUGAUCACCCCGGCAAUGUUUGGACCAUAGCCUGGUGACCCGUCGCGUGGAGGCCUUUGGUCCCCUUUCUGGUCCUCAGGACCUCGGCAGUUGAACUUGGUGUCCCGCCUGUCUUCUCGGCGAGGACCUCGGCUCUCCCGGUGGGAGGCACUUCGUCCGAAGCUUCCAUCUUUGCGGACAAAUUGUUUCAAGUGUCCUUGCCGAAUUAGAUUUUCGAUCUCUCGUUUCAGAUCGUUGCAGUCUUCGGUCUCGUGCCCAACAUCUCGAUGGUAGGCACAGUAGAGGCUGGAGUUCCUCCUAUCUCUUCUUCCAGGGAUCUCAGGAGGUGUUCGGCCGAGGUGGUUCUGCCUCAUCACAGCCAAGACAUGAGAUCGGCUGGAAUUGAGCGGUGUUAGCUCAGCGUCCGAGGUGGAAGAUCUUCCUUUCACGAUCCGGUCAAAGACACUCCGGCGGUCCCGUGGUGGGUUUGAAGUGCCACUUGGGCCGGGUUCACCUCGGCCGAUGUCUUUCCUUCUCCGGGCAUCUUGUCCCGUACGAGAGGCUUGGGCUUCUCGCUUCAUGCGAUUCACAUCUUCACUUCGGAUUCCCUGGUCCACUCUUUCCCAGAGUUCGUGAAGUGUACGAGGGUAAUCCCGAUGGAUUUCGGUGUUGAAGAGUCCGGCCACCAACCCGUUGGUAAAGGCCGCGAGAGUUACCUGCUCGUUCUGAUCAGGUAUUUGCACAUUCUCCUCGUUGAACCUCUGAGCAUACGAGCGAAGAGACUCGCCCUGACCCUGUUGAAGGUUCAAGAGAUAAGCUGAAGUCUUCGUGAUUGGUCGAGACGACACGAAGCGGUGGAUGAACCGGUCUAUCAGCUCAUCCAGGGAGGAAAUGCUCCCUGGUUCCAAACUCCAGAACCACUUCCGGGCAGUCCCAUGUAGAAAAUGGGGAAAGCCGACAAAUCAGGCGGUCGGGGACGCAGUAGAGUCGGAAUGCGGAGAUGAAGGGCGGAGGUGAUCCUCGGGGUCACCUCGGCCGUCAUAGGUGUGCAAGUUUGGAAGCUUGAAGUUCGGGGGCACCCUUUCCCCAUUGAUGUCAUCUGUGAAGGGCGGAGCCCUCAUGUAGUCGAAGCCAGACCCCCGGGGCGCCGAGGUGGGUCCUCAACUCGCUUUCCUAGCAGUCCCGGGAAAACGCCCGGGAGAUGGAAGUUAGCUUAGAAGUCGCCUUGGAGGAGGCGCGCCUGGAGGUACUCCGUGAGAGACGGCCUCAUCGGAGUCUUCACCUGAAGGUGCCUCAGGGGACUUCGUCGGCCUCCUCUUGGAAGACUCGGCCUUUUCUUUCCCCUGUCUUUUGAGGUACCUUCCUAGCUCCUCAAAAAUGGUUGGGUUGUGUGAUACGAACUCGCCAUCUUGGCGAUGGCCUCCUCGUUGUUAGGCUGGGUCCUUGGGGACCCUUGCUCUUCAGAGAUGCGAUCUUGCUGGGCUCCGAGGUCUGCCCAGCCCAGUUGAGGGAACUCGACCACUUCUGGAGCGCGUGGAUCUCAUUUUAGCAAUAGUAGUCUCGUUCCACAGACGGCGCAAUUGAGGAGGUGAUUUUUGGUUGGUAAUAGACCGACCUGGAUCAGUCCUCUCUGAGAUGAAGUGAGGUGAACUCCUGUGUUUCGAAGUGAACCUCCUCGUCCGAAGUGUGUGGCGGGGCUUCUCCCCUGGUAUCACUCCGACGAUCAAGUUAGUAUGAGAACCAGAAUAAUGAGAAUGAGUUAAUGAACAGUGUAUGCUUACUUGUUGGGAGUGUGUCUGGGGUAUUUAUAGAAGAGAGGUGGUCAAGACGGAAGGCUCAUGCUAGCGGGACCACUCUCUGGUUACGGCUCUGUCUCCUGUCAGGAGGUCUGACUCUGACACUGUAGCCGCCUGGGAGUGAUGACGGAGGAUAUGGUGGCAGGUGCCAUUAAGUGCCUCCAGUGCUUUUCAGAUAAAGUGCUGGUCCUGGAUGAUGUCAGGUGGGUUGACAUCAUCAGCGUGCAGCUGAGGGGGGGGUGCCGAGGUCGGCUACACAGUAUGCUAUGGAAACGGCCGAGCCGAGCUCAGGGAUGAUGUCCGGGACACGGAUGAACUCCGAUGAGGGACGAGGUGAGUCCACCUCGGCCACUCGGGAUGGCCGAGGUGAGCAUCCUCAAAUACAAUAAAAGAAACCAACGUAUGGAAGUUUGAAGAAGAAAGCGGAGGCAGCAGUAGUACUGCUGCAACCGGAUAACUAAUGAUGCUGCUGCAGCUGCGUCCGCUGCGCUUCUGCUCUUCUUCUGGUACUAUAAUUCUUGCCCUGGUUUUUCUGGGGUCACAUCUUCUGGGCUGUUGAGAGAUUUUACUCGGCCGACCUCCCAGCUGACUUCGUUUUCGGUGCCGGCUCUUCUGCCUAUCAGGUCUGCCCUUCGCUUCGCCACAUUGGUACGACGUUUAUGUUACUUCAUCUGAAAGCCAAUGUCGAAAUCUGUGUCAUAUUCUUGUUACUGCCAAUAUUCUUGGCUGCCUAUGCUGAAAACUCUCCUCAACAGCGGCCAGGCCAAUUGACUUUCAUAGUCUCUUUGAUUUUGGGUUGAUUUGGCUGCUUGCAUUGUGAUUUUAAUUGUGAUUAUACUAAUGAUCUCAGGUUGAGGGUGCUGUAUUUGAAGAUGGAAGGACUCCUAGCAUUUGGGACACCUUUGCUCAUGCUGGUCUGGCUUAUCGUCACAUUUUACUAAACUAGUUGAUAGCAGUUCCUGCAUUUGCAAGAACAAUGAAAGUAGAAAGAAUAGACAUAGUCUGCACUACUCAAUGUUAUUUUACUUUUCCAACCAGGCAAAUGACAAAAAUUACUGCAUAUUAAGACUCUAUAUUGCAAUUGCGAAUGCAAAUGGCCCAUAAUUCAAGGUUUCACAGCCACAUAAAUAGUGGGACCUCUUAUUAUUUGCUUGCUUCAAAUCAGAAUAACUGUGGUUAUACUUAAGAAUUGUGUACUUCUUGCUGAGCACUGGCAAAAUGUGAAGAAAUAUGUGAUAUGUAUGCUUUUGUCUAAUCUGAACAACAAAGUUUACCAGGGACUUGAGACCAUAUAACUUGCUGUCACCUAAGAGAUAAUGGAUAAAGAACAUGGUCGAGCACAUUGCACGGUCAGGCAUGGAAUUUUUGACAGCUCUCAAGAAUGAGAGAUUCAAGUCUAAGAACGCUGGAGUAGUGGGAUCAAUAUCAUGUUUCAGAUCCAUAAGAUUAUUAGUUACUGUAGUUAUUGAUCCCAUUCUAACCAAAUAAAUUAAAGCCUGAAUUGCUAUCCUUAGGGCCGUAAUUCCAACAUGAGUGAAGAAGUUCUGAAUAUCUUCCUGAACAACACCAUCACUGAUAUGGAAGCCAAAUUGGAAAUCCUUUACCUGAACGAAUAAUUUUUCAACUCUGUUUCUGAGGGCAUGGAUUUGUUUGAUUUGGUAAUCAACUUGCGUCCGCGCCUGAGCCUGAGCCUGAGCCUGCACCUGUGCACAGGUAUGCGACAGAAUCCUUGGAAUAAAUCGCAAGAAGUAUAUCCAAAUAGAAUAAGAAUGAAGAGCAGGAGACAGCAAUCCCAAGGUGCAGCUGCCCGAGAGAUCAUCAAGAACUUGUCCGACUGGUUCCCUGAAAAGCCCAAUUGUUCUCUCCCAUUUGCAGAGUACAUCAACCACUCCUAGACAACCGUUCAAUGUUUGAUCAGAAACAAGAACACCGCCAAAGUCGUUGGCCAAGUUAUCUGAUACAGCUUCAGUUAUGCUGACGAGAAAUCCGAAGUUACUGACAACGUUGUCUGCAUCACUGCACCGUCGAAGGUGAAUAAGAAAGGUUGCCAGCAGCCUCCAAGUUUCAAGUUGAUCAAUGAUAUGGUCGGGGUUUAAGGCAGUUGGACGGCCAAGGCCAUGUCCCCUUGCUCCAUGCCUCCAACCACGGAGCUUCUUCAUGGCAGAAUCAAGGCGCCGACAUAUGGAACUCCAACUCGAAGUGGAAGCCAUCAAUCUCCACUAAACUCUCUAGCUACAACACCACAGAAAUAAUCAGGAAUUGAUACAACGGAGAAUUAGUUGAUGAUGAGGAUUAGACAAUUAAGAUUUCUCUUUCCGACAAUCUCACAACGGAACAGACACAAGGAGUAGCAUGUGUUAAAUUAAGUUGACAGUAGCCUAUGGAGAGUAUAAGGAAUUAAUAUAUGUGCUAAAUAACUUCUCCAUUAAAAUUUGAGGCAAUAAACAUGAAUGUAGAAUUUCGUCGGGUGCAAGCCUUCAUUUGGCCAAAAAUAUGUGAUAGUUGAGGGGAAUGUUGGCUUGAAUCGCAUAUGAUAAUGCCCCCAAUUAAAUCAAGGUAAAAUGGGUUCAAUGGUAUAAAUUAAAGUAAAAUUUGACUUGACAAAAAGUGCACGAGGGUGAAAUCGUACACAAAUUUUAAUCAAGGGGGCGAAUUGUAAAUAACCUUGUUGGUUUUGUUUCACGGUCCUCUCGAGUCUCGAAGCUUCAUCCCCAGUUUUCUGUUCCUAUAAAAUGGCUAAGAGCAAUCUGUUUCUCACUAUAAUCACUCUCCUGAAGAAAAAACUUCCUCUGCGCUCUGAGUAGAGGUGCCGUCGCUCCUUCUUCUAUUCUGCAUUCCGAGUCGAGUUGUUUAUUACGUUUUUGCAUUCUUCUGGCCGUACUUUGUCCUAAACUACUAUUUUCUCCAUUGGGUUCUCUUCAUUAAUCUCCAAAACGGUUAUUGUUAGAUUUUCCCCCCUUUUGAAUUCCAGUGAUUAGUUCAUGAAAAUCAGCUGCUUUUGCAGAAUUAAAUUAUGGGUUUCUUUUAUCAUGAACAGUAUCCUGUGAGGGUUAGAAACUACACCCAUUGAUGAUAUAAAAUGUUGUUUUUGGUUCCUAAUUUUGGUGGAGUUUCUAUCUUGUACGAAUACAAAAAGGAUUUACGCUUUCAAAAUGUAAAAGACUUUGCAUUUUUGAAUUUUUUUUUGCUUUCCCUGAGUAUGACGUGCAGUUCAGGCACAGAGGGAUCAAAUGCUCUACUCUAGCUUGUUUGAAAAAUGGUGGAUGUCUUUUAUUGCACACAAGUGGUUUCCAACAAACAAAAUCUAAAUCUUUUGCGUCAAUUUAUUUUGCAGAUAACAAAUUGAGAAUUGAUUUAAGUUAACAAGCGAUAGUUUGGUUAUAUGUUCAUUGGUGAGCAAUUGUUAUUUUGUGUUUAAAGAUCAGAUUUUUAUGAGUUUCUGCUUUGCUCUGUUUUCUUAAGCUUGUCAGGCGACUAGCUUUUGUUCAAUUGCCGACAAGAAUGUCAAAACUAUUCGGAGGAAAAGAUCCAUUUGAUGACCCUUUUUCUCUGAGCCAUUUGGUGGCUUCUUUGGUGGGAAGAAUCCAUUUGCUGACCCGUUUUUCGCUAGCCCUUUGGUUAUCCUCCUGCUUCGCGGAAGCAAAUUAGUAUUGAGGAAAUAAAUCCUGAUGAUGAUGAUGAUGGUGCAAACAUUUCAAAUGCUGGCAAAGAACUGAGCGUUGGGAAUCCAAAUUAUCAUGCGAAUGGUAAAACAUUAAAUUAGCAUGUCUCAGUUAUUACGCCUGUUUUGUUGUUCAAGUGUUGACUGCAUUUCCUUGUUUGUGAAAAUGGCGUGACGUACUUAAUAGGUAGUGGAAGUUCUUUUAGUUAUCGAAGGGUUGCAUAUGGUGAUCAGGAUGGAAUGUACUAUACUUGCUCUGAAGGCAGGAUGAAUGGUGGCGAUGGGUCAGUAAUACUUGACUGGAUAUGUCUAAUUUUUUUUUUUUUUGCUUUUGAUGGUCAUUGUCAUCCUUCUUAUGAUGUCUUUGGUGGUGUUGUAGGUGUUUCUUGCGGAAAUGAAGGAAGAGGAUAAGAUAGUUGGUGAAUCACUGCACACAAUUUCAAAGGGAAUCCAUGAUAAGGUAUGGUCAUUGUAGUCUUCUAUCUGCCUCUUAGAAUGAGAUGACGUGAAUCCAUUAAAUCAUAAUGGGCAAUUCCUAACAAGAGUUCAGCAACAGUUCCUGGCUAUUCUUCGAGUUCAAGUUUACCAUAACAAAUUCUUUCUUGUUAAAUGUGCAAAAAUUUCUCUAAUACUAGUGUCUGAAUGUCUAGCAAUGUACCUUUAUCUUUAGCAAUGUGUCUUUUUUAAGUGUAUGUUAUAUGCCAAUGAAUGGCAGGUGUCUUAAAUGUGUCUGCAUUAUUUAAUUCUGCUUGUGCAGGGUCAUUCGGUCACAAAAAAGAACAGUUCAGAUGGUAGAGCGGAUUCAUUGCAGACUUUACAUAACUUGCAUGAAGGUUUGUUUCCUCUCCAAGGGCUUGUUAUCUUAAACUUCUUCAUUGCCCUCAAAUUAUUUUGCUGCUUUUAAUUUUUUUUCCCUUUCAUCAGACGAGCUUAAAGGUUUUGAAGAAAAUUGGAAAAAUAAUGCUGACAAGCAUUUACCAGGAUGGAGCAGUGGGUUCAAUAAGCUUGAGAAUUCAGGUAAGUUAUUGCUUGUCUAGUUGAGUUUGUUCUGUUUGUUGUAGCUUUAACAUAUCACAAUGCAAUCAUCUUGAUUAAAGCUGGUCAUUGUCAUAUCUUGUGCUAUCAGAUGAUCUCAUAAACUUUGGUAAUUUCUAGAUAUUCAAUUAUGCACAUCGAAAUCUGGAAGUGCUUAAUUGUAAAUUUCAUUUCUUGCUUUCAUGAUAUUCUCAUCCGUUCCAUUGUUCAUUUGGUUUUUAUCUUUGAUUACUAAGUUUAUGAGAUUUCUGUAUCAUUUCAUUCACUCCUCUGUCAAUUGAGUUUACUUCUAGAGUGUUUGUCUUAGUUCAUACUUUUAUGUUGCACUUGAUUUUUUUUUCCCUCAAGCACUUGUAUGUUCCAAAGAUGUCCAUUUAUUUGGCAGAUGACGGGGACUCAUUCCAUGCUUUGAGACAAUCAAAUUUUGGGAGGUUCAUUGAUCCAGAGAUGUUCAGUGUGAUUGGUACUGUUCAUUGCAUGAAUAGGCUGAAAUUUCCUGUUUAAUGAAUGCGCAGAGCUAACUUGAUUGGAUGGGAUGGAUUUCCAACAUGGAGCGGCUGGGGUGGUUGGCUCCUCCAUCUAUAGAGUACUUUGGAGACGCUGGAGCAGCAGAACGCAGAUGGAGAAGGGAGGAGGAAAAAGGUUGUGCGAGUGAAUGUGGAGUAGGGCGUAAUGUUCUGGGAACAUUAGUUUAUUACUUUAUAUUAAUCAAUGCUUAAUGUGUGCUCUGGCUUGAAUUUGGCACCUUAAUGCUUGUUUUCAGCGUCUUCCACAUUGUGAACUUCUGGAUGUCGUCAAAUAACUAGUACAAACAUGGUUUUUGUCUGGUUGGUUGGGAUGAAUUUAGGCUCGUCUUUUCGGUAAAGGGGCAGAAUGGUGUAAUAUAUUGUGAAGAGGUUGUAACUCAUGUUAAGCUAUUUGUGUAAUUUCGUAAUAAAGAAAUAAUUAUCUUGUAUGGGGCUCAUGUGAACCAUAAAUAAAUAUUACAUUGCUAAAGUGCUGUUAUUGGCCGGUGUUGUUAGAUCCGGACCGAAACCGAACUGACCGGUUCAAUCGUGAAAUCAACUUUCUUUUUGAGUUGAUUGUCAAAAAUUAGUGAAAAUCAUCAAAAAUUGCCUAAACCCGUGGUCCGAUCGAUGGGUUGAUUUGGUUUUCAAAUUUUUCUUUCUUGUUUCUCUCAAACAUAAUUUGAAUUACUUAAAUUAUAACAUUUUCAUUUACUAAUAUGAGUAUGAAAAUGUCAUUCAUUUUGUGUAAAUAUCAAAUUAUUCACUUUUCUGAAUAAUUUUAAGGUGGUGUUUGGUAAGAGGGUUUUGGAAUGAAAAAUUGGAAUAAAUUUUAUAAUUGUUAUUUGGAUUAUUAUUAUCGAAAAAUUGACAUUUUAAAAUCAUAUCUAAAAAUUUAGAGUUUCCCAAUUCCCUAAUAAUCCAAAGGGUUUUGGAUAAAAUCCAAAUUUGAUUCCUAUCUAAUGUAUUGAAAAUUAAGGAUGACAAUUGGGGCACAGGUCUCGCGGGGCAAUUUUUUUCCUUAUCUAGAAAUAGUCCCUCUUAGCCGCCAUUAUAUAUAUGAUUACUAGCUUGGAUUUGGCCGUGCUACACGCUUGGCCUAUCCACUAAUAAUUUUCGCUGUUCAUUUUGUCCUCCAUUUUGUCCUAUGCAAAAUCCAGAUAAUUUUGUGGAUGUUGAUAAUAUAUCUGUGGAUUUGAUAUGCUAAUUGUGUUUAAAAGACAAAGAGGUAAAUAACAUUUAAAACAGUGGCAAAAGAUUAUAUAAACAAAAUCAUUCACUUUGACAGCACAUGUGCUUUAAGACUGGAUCUUCAUACAUAUUAGCACUUGCAAUUAAGUUUCAUGAUCUAUGCAGGUGUAAGAUAACAAACUAAACUAUUAUUAGCUAUCUCAUGAUCCCUUAUUUGUCAAGGACUGAAGCAGUUUCAAAGAAAGUAUCAAAGCAAUGGACCUAAUCAGCUAACAAAGAGAUUUAAUAAAAGUAACAUAAUUAAAGCAGUUUAGGCCUACUUGCCCUUAAGCUUCUUUGCUGGACUUAUCUUCAAUAUUCUCAGGCGGAUUGCUAUCUUCUGGACCUUCUUUGGUACACUGCUCAGAAAUAUUGGAUGGCUCUUUGGAUAGUGUUUCUACUGGUGUAGCUUCAUUUUCAGGUAGCCCUUUUGGAAAAUCAAGGCUACUAUUUACUCCACUGCUCCCAUAUGCAUCAUUUUUCGUGGAAAAAAUUGCCUCCAGCAAUUUCUUCAAGCACCAACUUAGUGGUUGGUGUGAACUUUUCUUCCUUUGUUUGUUGUUGUUUUUUUUUUUUUUUGAUAUAUUGGUGAGGAAGUGCGCCACUGCAGAAGAAACUUCGGUGCGAUCUGAAAAUGUUACAGUAACAGAUCAUCUGCAGUGUAAGCUUUGGACACAAUAGUUUAAUUUGUCCCUGGUCUUAAAAGUGAGUCUCAUAAGCCUUGAGAAAGUAGACAAUUAUAUAUUUCUUCAAGGAACCAUUAAGUUCAGUGUCUACUUCAAAGUGCUGCAGGAAAAAUUAUUUUUUGAGUUGUAGUCAGCUGUUGUUAACUUUUUUGUUAUGCAUGGAUAUAAAAUAGAAAGAUAUAUCACUUACACUUUCUUGUGCCAGUUUAUGCUGAAGUGAAGUGAAUAGAAUCAUUUUUUCUGCACCUUCUCAAGAUAUAGUGCAAUUGAUUGUUCCCGAAUCAUCAGUUAAUAUGAUGGGAAUUCGAGCCCUCAAAUUCAACAACAGAAAUUAACAUCAAUUUAAAUGUAGAAAGAGGAUUAAAUUGUAAUUAAAGAGCAUGAAUUGGUAACUUUACCUCAUAUCAACCUCACUUUUGUUGCUUGCAAGAAGGACAACAGAUAAUCCAAUCAAUGUUUGCAUUCACUAUUCCUGUAUUUAGCGUAUCCAAAGGCAAGUUUCCCAGUUGCUUGAAGCCAAGCUGUUUUUCUCUGAAUCAAAUAGAUAUGAAAGAUAUCUGAAGCAAAAAUCACAGUUAACAGUAAAAAAGGCAAAAUCAUAAUCGUACCUAAGUUUUUCAUCCUUUGCUCAACAUGAUGAAAGAAAGAACCAACAUCUAAAGGGUUUCUCCUUUCCCUUCUCCCUUUUGUAUACAUGGUAGGUUUUAGAAACCGUACCAUAGAUCAUUAAAAAUUGUUUUUCUAAAAGAAAACAUCACUUCGUAGCAGGAAAAAAGGAAGAAUUCGCUGGUAAAUUCAAACCAAGUACAAUCUCUAAAAGAAGCUGAAUUCUUGGGCAAAUGCAAUCACGAGCAUGUGGAGGGUUUUGGUGGUUCUAACCAAGAGAAAGUACAAUGCUUUGUUCAGAAAAUUGGUAGAACAAUGGCAUUUUUUGCAGGUUCAUAUUCGGCUAUCCGAGCGGAAGAAACGGAGAAGAAGAAACUUUUAGUGAGAGGCCUAAAACUGUCCCAUAUGUUUAGAUCAAUCGACAAACAGUAUCAAACGAUUUGCAUCGAAACAGAAAAAUAAGAAGGAAAUAUUUUCAAACAUACAAAAAUAGCCCUAAAUAGUUAGUAACUAUUCAAACAACCACCUUUCACAAAAGGACGCAACUGACUUUUAACACUUAUUAAAACACAAACAAAGUUAAAAAAUAAAUGUAUUCAAUCCAUUAUUACAAUUGACCCUUAAAUAGUAAGCUACUAUUGGAAUUCUCAAUUGUAAGAUCAAGUCCCAAAUAGACAUUUACCAUUCUUUAAGAUCCAAAUGAAUAAAAAAAGUUCCUUCCUCCAAUAAGAGCUUGACACUUGGCAUUCAAUGGACAACUCAAGUUGUUCUCUUAUCUAGUAGGUAGAUAUAUGCUAUAUAUUAUAAUUAUAAUAUUUAAUUAUAAAAAUAAAUUUUAUUAUAAUAUUAGUAUAAUUAUAUAAUAGAUUUAUAAUUAUUAUAUACACAUAUAUAUUAUCAAUAUAAUUAUAAUUAUAUAAUAUAUAUUAUACAUAUAUUAAUAUUAUACUAAUAUAUAUCUAUAAAUAUAUUAUAAUAUUAUAAAUAUAUAUUUAUAAUAUAUAUAAUAUUAUAUAAUAAUAUAUUUAUACUAUUUAUAAAUAUAUAUUAUAUGUGUAUAUAAUUAUAAUAUAUAUGUAUCUAUAAUAAUAUAAUAAUAAUUAUUAUUAUUAUAAUUAUAGUAUAUGUGUAUUUAAUAAUAUUUAUAAUUAUAUUUAAUAUCUAAUAUGUAUUUUAAUUAUAUAAUAUAUGGCAUAAUUAUUAUUAAUUUUAUAUUAUAUAUAUUAUAAUAUAUAUUAUAUUUAAUUUAAUUAGUUACAAAUUUAUAAUAAUGAUAUUAUUAGUUAUAUGUAUUACAUAAUGUAUAUAAGUAUAUAUAAUAUAAUUGAUAUUAUCAAUUAUAUUAUUAAUUAUACAUGUUUACUAACAAAAAUUGUUAAUUAGUUAUACUAAAUUUACUAAUAUAUUUAUACUAAUACAAUUAAUUAGUAGAAAUUUAUUAUAUCUCAUUUUGAAAGAGUCAAUGAACCAAACAUCAAUUACAGUAAUGAUAUACAUUUCUGUUACUGAACCAAACAGAUGUAUUGGAAUGACUGAUUCCAUUCUAAAUCCAGGAUGAAUGAUUCAAAAUCCGAAUUUGAUUCCAAAGAAUGAACCAAACACCACCUAAAUCAAGAUGUUUCAUCCCUAUUAUCUUAUCAAUCUGCAUUAGUGAUUCUAACGUGCAUUAAAUUAUUUUAAUUUAGUUUUUCAAGUAAUUUUGAAAAAUGGACAUAUUUUAGUCAUGAAUUUACAUUUUUAUAUAUAAUUAUUAAGUGUAUAUUUGAUUACAAGUCUAAUAUUUUUGUAACAUUUUGUAUGAUUGGCUGAAUAUAACCAAAAACUUAAUUUUAAUAUUUCUGAAACUUAUAAAAUAUAAAAUAAUUAUGACAUCAUGCUAAUAUCAGCCUGUUUUUUAGAACGGUCCGACCGAUCUGAUCAGUUGACGCUGAUCCAGCAGUUUAGCCGAGUGGCUAUCCGAUCCGAAUUUAACAAAAUUGGUUAUUGUUGUUCUGAGAUUGUACAAUUAGCAGCGAGUUAAAACUUGUUCAAAUGUUGUUACCUUAAUUAGAAACGGAGUACCUGCCCCUUUUCUGUUCUUUUUUCUUUCUUUGAACAGUUGUUUGUUUAUGCUUCCGUGUAUGUACAUAUCUGAUGUUUGAAAAUUACUUGUCCAUGGCUUAAAUCUUCUUAUAUAUGUCAAGUAUUUUUGUCCCAAUUCCCUAUUAGGAAGAUAAACAGCAAUUCUAUGCCGCAAAAGUACUUGGGAUAAGUUAUAGGUGUUAAAAUGGGUGAUUCGGGUAGAUUUUGGCAAAUCAUAAUUGAAUAAUGAAUAUAUUACGGUUUUUGGGGAAAAAAAUAAUUAGAUUGUGGGUAUAAUUGAGUUAACUCAUUUAUGAAUAAAUGAAUCAAUUCAUUUAUAUCCAUUUGUGAAUAAUGGGUAUGGUAUAUUUAAUUAUUUAAUUAUUUGAAAUUUUAUUUUUGCUUUUUAAAUUUUUCAUAUGUUGUGAGACAAGAAAUAAGGACAUUUUAUUGUGAUUAAAUUAGUAAGAAAUUUAAAUUUAUCCUCCUAAUACUCACUAAAAAUAAAUUGAAUUUGAAUGUGUAAUUAUUUUUAAAUGGAUAAUUGGGUGCGUCAUUCACUCCUCCUCUGUCCUUAGAAUUUGCAUCUCGAAUGCUCGAAUGCAUGCAUUAUCGGCAUUGGGUCAUGCCCAACCUACCAGCAAAAUAUGGAUGCUUCUUGCCCGCAGAAAUGGUGUAAAAGCUCGAAGCCGCAAUUGAUUUUUUAUCGAGUUUAUGCCCUGGAUAUUUGGUUGGAUACUGGAUGUUUGUCUUCAGUAAUUAUACAACAAUGGGGCUCUGUUUACUGGUUUAGAAACAACGUACGGUAGAGUAACACUGGAAGAUCAUUACGCAGCAGAACUAAGUCUGCGGGGAAAAGCUGUCUAUAUUAUUUCACUUGUAGCUCGGCUCAUCUUCCAGUGUCCUUGAAAUCUAUAGAUGACUCAUGGCAACAGAAAACUUCUGAUAACAGGCCUUAAAAAUCUACUAGACAAAUGCGAAGGCCACGAGAAUUUGAUCAAGCAAAUCCACGCUCACUGGACCACCCUUGGCUUCUGCGCUCAAACUCGAAACAUCAACACUUCGCCUGCAAGUUACUAAACGUUUAUACAAAACUAAACAAACCCCUCGAAGCCCACAGGGUGUUUGCUCUAAUUCCUGACCCAGACAUUGUCUCCUGGACUUCUCUAUUCAAUCUGUACCUGAAAACUCAACAACCCACCGAGGCGUUAUCUCUUUUCUCUCACUUGUUGGUCUCUACUUCCCUCAGACCUGAUGCGCACUCCGUCUUGGCUGCGCUGUCUGCUUGCGCGCGGACGCAAAAUUUGGAUGCUGGUAAAGCAAUGCAUGCCAUGGUGUAUAGACAAUUGUCUGAACCGGAAACAAUUGUGAGUAAUGCUCUGAUUGAUAUGUAUAGUCGGGGUGGAAGAACCCAUUUGGCUAGACGUGUGUUUGAGAGUGUGCAAUGCAGAGACGUGGCUACUUGGACUAGCUUGCUUAAGGGUUUAUUUUUUGUGGUGAUAUUGAAGCUGGACGUCAGGUUUUUGAUGAUAUGCCGCAGAGGAAUGUGGUUUCUUGGACGGCGAUGAUAGUUGGCUAUGUACGUGUGAAAAAUUCCAUUGAGGCGUUGCAGUUGUUUAGGAGAAUGAGGGAUGGAGGUAGAGAGAAUGCUACUACUAUUACUAUUGUUGCCGUGCUCUCAGGUUGUGCUGAUGUUGGAGCUCUGGAUUUUGGGAGGUCUAUUCAUGGGUAUGUUAACAAGAUAGCUGGUUUUAGCAUGGAUGUUGCUGUAAAUAAUGGAUUAAUUGAUAUGUACGCAAAAAAUGGAAACCUUGAUUCAGCUGAGAAUAUAUUCAUUAGGAUGGUAGAUAGGGAUUUGUUUUCGUGGACAAGUAUAAUUUCAGGGUUGGCAAUUCAUGGUAGAGGUAAGGAUGCACUUGAUUUUUUCGAUGAGAUGGUGGCAUCUGGGAUGCACCCCAAUGAGAUUACGUUUCUUUCUGUACUUUCAGCUUGUAACCAUGCAGGAUUGGUUGGUGAGGGACUGAACUUCUUUGAAAGAUUGAAAAAUUCUCCUAGAUUUGAACCCAUGAUGGAACAUUAUGGGUGUAUGGUAGAUCUUCUUGGUCGAGCAGGAUUGCUUGAAGAAGCUGUUGGAUUGAUUCAGGACAUGCCCUUCAAGCCAGAUGCUAUUAUGUGGAGAUCAUUUCUCAGUUCUUGUUUAGGACAUAAUAAUUCGGCUUUGGCUGAAAUGGCAGCGAAAGAGGUACUUGAACUGGAGCCUGAUGAUGAUGGUGUAUGCGUGCUCCUUUGGAACUUGUAUCGCUCUAAAAAAAUGUGGCAAGCUGCUUCAAGGAUGGAGAGGAUGAUGAAGGAUCAGAAAAUAAAGAAAAAACCUGGGUGUAGUUGGUUGAAGUAAAUGGUGUUGUUCAUGAAUUUCUUGCUGAAACUUCAUUACCUUCUGUAGCUGGUGAUGUAUACAUUGCUCUACAAGGCAUUGCUAGACAAUCAAAAAUGAAUAGUGACAUUUUCAUGCACAAGAAGGAUUGUACAGUGACAGAAUGCAUCUAGUAGAACGAAUAUUGACAUUUUUAGAUAAAAGUUUUUGAAGUGAAGCAUGGAAGUUCCUGAUUGGAGACAGUAAAAUUAGCAUUUUCAGAAUUCAAGGGGACCAAAAUGUGGGUUUUCUUGGAAUAAGCUCAGUACUGUUUCCUCCAUACCUUUAUUAGCGCCUCGCUGUACUAAAUUGGAAAACCUCAUCCUUCCACCACUGAAAUGAAGGUUCAAUUAUGGAACUUACCGUCUAUGUAUUUGUUUUAUUUUGCUUUUCUUAAUGUCUAAACUGUGUCUUGUUAGUCUGGAUAAUUAAUUAGUGCUUCUUUGGUGCCCUUGUAGUGGGUUCUGUUGGACAGGUAGUUGAUGCCUUGAUUCCUUGAUGGUCUGGAUGGUCAAUUCAUGCUUCUUUGUUGCCCUUGUGGCAUGUGUUCUGCUGGAAAGGUACUUCUUCCAGAAGUGAAGGAAGCAGAUUAUAUGGAUGGUAGUGACGUUAAUUGGUGAGUCACUGCAUACAGAUACAGUUCGGCUGGGAAUUUAGAGUUGGAUAGUCUUCACGUUGCCUCAUUGUAUCUAUUGUCCCAAGAAAAUGUUGAGUAAUAUUUCCUGGUGACCUCCUGGAUUUUUCUCAAGUUCCUUAUCUUCAGCAUAGUUUGCACGUAAAUGCUUCUGAGUCGCACAUGUGUGUAUUAAAAGCAGAAUUUACACGCAGUGUAGCAAACAUCAUUCAAAUGCUUUUCAGGCUGAUGACUAAGAACUUGGAAUUUCUUUAUUGAUGCGCUCGUCUAAUAUAUGUUAAUUUAGCUCUUUCCUAUGCUCAUUUCAUGAAUGUGACUAUGUACCCCUCUGUACCAUGACUUCAGCUGACAUUCAAGGUGCUCGACAGACGCAUCCUAUAAUAUAGUGGCGAAACAAGAAAUUCCAGUUAACGGAAAAACUACUUGGAAGAGGGAAGCAGCAAGAGUACCAAAAGUAAGGAACGACGAAUAUAGGGAAUGACGAAAUAUAGAAGAAGCAACUUGGAGUACUGGGCGUAUAACAAAAUCGGAGAUUGAACAGGAGACAGCAAAACAGAGGAAUCAACACCAUUUGUUGUUUGUGGUUUGGGGAGACGGGGUGCCGGGGUCGGUUGGUUUGUUCGGGUAAAACAAAGGAGGCAACGUGAUGGACCUUAAGUUUUCGUGCUGGUUGUUGGAGUUUGGGCGAAGAGGAAGCAUCUUUACAUCUUCCUCCAAUAUUUAGAUUGAUCAGAAUAGCUUCUGCAGAACUGAGAGUGUACUUAUGGGUGCCGCUCUUAAGAUAUGACAUUGUUUCAAGUAUUAUUUGAUUUAUUCUGAAAACAUCUUAUUUUGAACCAUCACCAGAUUCUUGAUAGUUCACGGGCUUUAUUCGUGAAGAAAAUAAGCUAGGGAAAAAAAAAAUACUCAAAUUGUAGUUUUGAAUCGCAGAAGAGCGGACACAAGCAAAUUAGUACUCAAGUGGACUGCAAUGGACGGUCCAUUUGCACAUCUGCACCUUCCUCCCCUUUAUUAUGAUAGCAUGACUAAAGGGUUAAAAACAAAAAAAUCCCUGUAAUAUACCUAAUAUAUAGGAAAGUCCCCAUGAUUUCAAAAGUAUAAAACGAUACCACAUGUUUUGAAUUAAAUUAUAAAACUGAUAGAAUCGGAUAAAUUUAAUGGAAUCCGGUAAGUUUAAUAGAAAACAUAACUGAAUCCGGUAAAUUUAAUAGCUCAAACCGUCAUUUUCAUUAAAUUUAUCGAAUUCUGUUAGUUUACAAUUUAGUUCAAAAUAUAAGAUGUCGUUUUGUAUGUUUUGAAACUACGAAAAAUUUUUCCGUGCAUUAGGUAUAACACAUAACGCUUUUUUUUGUUUUUAACCCCAUGACUAAAAUGUCAAAGAUUCUUCAACUUGUAAACAAAAGAGUAUUCACGUGGACAACCACAUAAACUAAACCAGGAUCCAAGCAUGUUGGCUUCUGCCGGAAUGAACAUGAACAUUGCAUAACUUGUCGAAGGGGAAACGGUGCCGAAAGUUCAUUCACGAUCUUUCCAUUUUGAUGGUAGUAUAAACGCUACGGUUUGCUGAAUUCAGAACAGUACAGCUAAUAUGUGAAUAUCUUUUUGUGAGAUGCAUCGAGAUCAGAAUUUUUUGUGUGUAAUAAAUGUUAAGAUUGCUCUUCCGGAAACUAAAUGUUUAGACAGCCAACAGUUUUGUACAUAUGCCUUAGAAGAGUUUAAGACUGCACGAAACCAUUAGUGAAUUUUUUUUCUAAUCCGAAAAUAACAAAGCAGCAAUCUUCUUCUUCUUUUUCUUUCUUUUACUUUUUUAAGGAAAGGGGAAAAAACCCUUUUUUGAAUGAAAUCUUGAAUGCUUGAAAACCAGUCCCCUAUAUUGGGUAGGAUAUUUUAAAAAAAUGUUAAAGGUAUUAGUUGAAAAAAGAAUAGAAUAUUUCUCAAUCUCUGCUCUCUCUCUCUUUCUCUCUCUCUCUCUUUUAGAUAGUUAAUUAUGCUUCUAUAUGUGUACAUAUUUGUUUCUUGAAACUAGUUUUCCAUGCUUAGAUGUUCUUGUACAUAUUUGUUGCGACCUAGCAAAAUCAUUAAUUAAGUGGAACUAUAGUAUUAUACAUGUAAAUGGAACGUAAAAGAAAACUUGUGAAGUUUUUCUUCUGGCUCGGACGGCAUGAUUUUUGUAAAUGCCUUUCCAAUUCCAAACAAACCUAUACCCAAAAAAAAAAAAAAAAGGUGAAGAGGUAGAAUAAAUGUUUGCAUUGAGUUUAAACAAACCUAUACCCAUACUAUAUUUUACUAGGGAAUAUUAGACAAACAAAUAAAAUAAUUCAACUUAGCCCGGGAUCUAAUCUUGCAUUGAGUUUUUAAAUCUCUUUAAAAGCUACUGCCAGUUGGCAUUGCAGAAUCUUUCUAAGUAAAACCUUCCUUAGAUGCUUGCUUCCCCAUGCAAAAAUAAUUAAUUACUCUUCACUGCUUAUUGUAGCAGGUGUAGAGGUUCAUCCCUGUCUCCUUCAUGUUCCUUCAUAUAUAUAUGUGAUCCUAGAAGCACCUCAAUUUGUAACAAAACAUUACUAAACUAAGUAGAGCUCUAGACAAAGCAAUGGCUUCUUGGUCUGCUGAACAUGCAACAAAAGCUUAUCUCCAAACCCUUAAGAUGGUAAGCCAUUUGAAGCUUUGAAUUUGUGAUGACUUGUAACUUCAUUGUCUUUGUAUACUUACUAGUGGUCUUUAACAUUUCAGGGCAAAAGGGGGAAGGAGCCUAAUGUUUCAGAGUACAUUGCAGCCCUUGCUGCAGGCAACAAUUCACAACUCAUGGUUAUGGUUUGUGCAGGCAGUGCCGGAUCCACAGCACUAGCUUUAGGUGCUGCAGCACGCGAAACCGGCGGCUGCGCAGUCUGUAUUUUACCAGGGCUCGAGGAGUUGCACGCUUCAAGAAAAGCUCUAGGAUGUUAUGCUGAAUUUAUUGGGCUUGUUGUAGGGGAUGCACGGUCUUUAUUGCUAAAUGAAUAUCAAGAUGCCGAUUUUGUGCUCGUUGAUUGCAAAAUGGAUGGGCACGAAUCAAUUUUACUAGCAGCACAAGAGUGUUUGCAUCAGAAGAAAGCAUGUCUUGUAGGUUACAACGCCAUUCAUUGUGAACCAUGGAUAGAUAGUUUGAAAGCUCAUCUGCUACCUAUUGGAGGUGGUUUAUUGGUGACUAGAUUACCAUCAUCUUCAUCAUCACCGGCUGAAAAGUUUCGUGGGGCUGGAAAGAAAGGCAAUUGGGUGGUGAAAGUUGACAAAAUCACUGGUGAGGAACACGUUUACAGAACCACCUUCCACCACUAUCAUGACCGAAUUGCGGCUUAGAUAGCUUCUUUACAGGUCAUCUUUAACGUCGACUGUAAAUAGUCCCUGGUGAUGAUCAAGCAGGAGAGAAUGACUCGGGAAAUAUAUUAGAGGAUCUCAGAGUCAUGUAAAACUAUCAGCUCCUUUAAUUUGAUUUCAAUCCACGCUUUGAUGUUUUUUGACGUUUAAUUAAUUGCCUACAUCAACAUUUCAUUAUGAUAUUAAGACUAAUAAGUUUAUACCAUGUCUGGAAUCUUGAUGUAUCUUUCUUGAUAACGCGAAGUUAAUGAAUAACUAUCAGCCAUCAUGAUAGGGUGCGAUUUUGUCAUUUAUUUUAUUAUUAAUUUUUUCUAAUAUCUGACCUGAUGUAGAUUAAUUAUUAGAUUUUACUCAUUUUUCGUAGUUUACAUUUAUUUUAGGAAAUAGAAUGAAAAUACAAUAACAAGUGCCAAUUUAUAGGAAAAAGAAGCCCAAGUCACAUAGCUUAGUCCAAGGGCAGUGUUGGCAAAGAAAAAAAGAUCUUUUGCCCUUUAUUUUGGAACGGCUAAACCGAAAGGGAGUUGUUCCUUUCCCUUGGGGAGCCGCCGCACAAGGCAAGAGCAGCAGAGGACUGAGGACGGCUGGCUUCCUUAGCCUUUCGUCCCGUAGCUUAGCUUUCACCUUUGACUUUUCCUUCCUUUGCUUCUUAGUAGUAGUUGCCUCUCGGAUGUCAGGAGCCAUUGAAGCAUUGAAUUAUUUCCCCUGUAGCUUUUUCGUUUGAUUUUUCCUUGCGGUCUGUAGUGAAUUCCUCCUACCACAUAAUGGCCGCAACUAUCGCUUCAGUUUUGUAUGGGUUUUUCUCAUCAAUAAUAAGUUAAACCCUUUUUUCUAGUCAAGGGACAAUGGAUGCUUUGGGAUGCCUAAAAUUGUGCCCUUUUAUUUAUUGGUAUCCGCAUAUUUCCUGAUUUCUAUACUCACGGUUAUUUAAUUAAUUGAUUGUUUUGGAUCCGGAUAAUUAAUUAAUUUGAUAAUCUAUUAUCAAUUGGGGACGUUAAAUCCGUAAUUGUUUAAUUGUCUCAAAAUAGUGAUAACUGGCAUGAUUGGGUUUGUGUCAGGGGAAUACGCGGGCUAAUCUAAAAUAACCCUGGUAGUGCGUUAUUUGAUUAGAAUAGGGCUUCUCUAAUACGUAAGGCAAUUGGGGAAUUAAAUUCUACGGGCGUACCUAGGAUUAUUUCUCAAUUAGAGCAGUGAUUAACGGGCGUACCUUAAUCACCGACACAGUAAGAAGCGGUUGACUGUCAUCGCUUGUUUGGCAGUUAUAACCUAUUUAUUGGUAAAUAAUUGUAAUUGGCUUUGUGUCGAUAAUCAAUUAGGUGAACCAUUGCUGAAGUUAUUCCUUAGCUAGACCCUCUGAUUUUAGUAAAUUGUUAUUUAAUUUCUAGUUGGCUAUUUUAUUUUUAUUAUUUUACUUUUAGUUGGAUUGCUUAAAUUGUCACCCCUGAAAUAAAAACACCCCCUUGUCACUGUGAAUUUAAAAAGAAACAAUUACUCCCAGUUCCUGUGAAUUCGACCCUGCUUACCACUAUCUACAGAAAUUAACUUUAGUUUGAACAGGUUUUAUUAUUGCACAGGCCAACAACCUAUCACAUCAGGACUAAUGAAGGGUGUUUUACACGUUGAUGUUUGCAUACAAGAGGCUUUUUUCAAUGGUCUAACUAGGAAAAAUUGGUGCCUUAUCUCUUUCUUGCUGUUAGUUAAAUUAAUUUACUGCACGGUCCCGUCUAGUUGCCAAGCUUGAGAAUGACUUUGAUUUUCAUUCCCAAUGUACUGCGUACUUUUCAAAAUCAGCCUUACGUAACACAUCAAAGAUUAAUACCAUAACAAGUUGAAAAUGCAGCAGAAAAGAAGGAAACGUUAUCUUGAGAAAUUUUCUAUGUCAAGUUGCAAGUGGUGUAGAGGAGGUAGUUUCUAAUGAUGCUAUUGAGAGAAUUGCAAAAUAAAUAAAUCUUGAUAUUUGGAAAUACUCGUUCAAGAUGCCAAAGUCUGCGCAUAGGUAAUUGAAGACAUUUUAUUUUUAGAUGUUCUAAAGUUUUAUAUUAGGCAAAGGCAUUUUGAAUACAAAUUUUAAUUAAAUUGUUGUACUAAUUUUGCAUCAGCAAUAAAAGGGUCAUUCAGGAAUAAAAGUUUUUUUUAGCGUUUUAUAUGAUUUUUAUGUAGAGGUGUUGACUUUGCUACGCUGAAACUCACAACAGGAAAUUAGGUCAAAUGUAAUAUUUAAAACCUUAGGUUCUGCGAGUGAAAUGAUCAGAAACCUCAAGGGUAGUUUUUGCAACUAUGACUAAACAAAUUGUGAAUUUGUGAAAUUUUCAUUUCAGUUUCUAAAAUCUUCUCCAAUUGAAAUUGUGAAUUUUGGGAAUGAGGUGCAAAAAAAAAACCAAUAUAUAACACUACUAAGAUCCAAUUUACAGUAAACAAAAGAUAAAAUCUACAGUUUUUGCCAUCGAGAAUGCAGAGGAAAAGUGGUCUAAAUCCAUGCAUGAUAUCCAUUUUGUUCCCCAUUAAAGUUGUUGAAGUCCAGAUCGAAGUCCUCCAUCCAUGAUGGUUCAAAAUACUGUACAGCACAGUAUAUUGUUGCUGUAGAUAAUUGUGUUGCAUUAAUACUGAACCGUGUAUGAGUCUGACACACACACACACACAUAAAAGUGUUUUAGACGUUCUUAGAUGAUAUUGCUGCAUGCGAUAGAUGCCGCACGGCAAAGCACAGGGUUUAUUACUAUCAGAAGCUGUUUCAAGCACCAUCACAGUCUCCACCAUCUUCUCAAGUGCCUGAUCAAGGAAGUUUACAUGGAUAUAUGAUUAAGCCAACUAAAUACGACUACUAAGAUGAUUAAAAUCGCCUGUCCUGUCUUAUCUGCGGAAAACAUGCUCCUCUCCGGACUGCUGAUCCAUGUGCGUGAUCCAACCUUUGGUGACUUUCCCUGAGCAUCGUUUUUCACCUGCAACAUAUGCGACAUCAAUUCCAUUCCCAAUUGGCAGAUUUCUUGAAUUCACGACGCUGACCGCACUAUCAAGAACCUUAUUCCAUCUGAACAGGAAAAGGUCUUUCUACUAGCAUUUUUACAUACUAAAACUGCACCAAGAUGGCUAAACUUGGCAAAACUGAAGACCCUGGUAAAAUCCUUGCAAUGGCCAUCAACAACCAGAAAAUCAAUACCAGUUAGCCUUCCCAUCAACUCCUCGGCCUCUCCAACCAUGACUUCCGGUAAUGCUAUGCCUGCAGGCCUGUUUUGCAUGGCGCAAGUAUAUUCUUGUCUUGACUUUUCAUCAGCUACAAUGCAUACGUGCCUUCCACCGGAGUGACGAGCGGCGAUUGCAAGACCGAUGCUAUUUUUUGGUGCAGCGCCACCAGUAGUCCACGCUUCGACGAUUAGCUUCGCGUUCCAUCCACCGGCCAUUGCAGAUAUCAACUCUGGAGCGCUGGAUUCCAUGGAAAGGCCACACUGCAAUAUUACAAAUUAAUUAUAUAUAUAUAUAUAUAUAUGAAAAAAAAAAAGACAACAUAAAUCGCUAAUCGUAGUCAAGAAUCACGAUUCAAGAAACGACUACAUGUAGCUAAAUUUAUUCCUUUUUCCUCCAAAUACAGUUGACUACUCACCACUGAUUCAAAAUUACAGCCUGAGCUAAUUGAGUUUCGGAAGCUGAUCUAAAGUUUUAGAAACUGAGGAAAAUAUGUAAUACAUAAAAUUGAACGGAGUUGACGCUACAUUCCAUGUCAAUACUGUAUAUAUAGCUUACGAAUUUCACAGUGUCAAUAUAAGCUUUUGCUGAUAUUUCAGGACACCAAAUCAGCUUCAUCUUUUCUGUCCAGCUUCUUCUUCUUCAAUUUUCAGUUAAAAUUUGAGAGUUAGGCGAGAAGGGAAAAAGAAAAAAAAAAAAAAAAAAAAAAAAAGAGCAAGGGCGGGUUGUACAGGGCAGUUUGUACUUUAUAUAAAGGUUUGAUCAGCUUAACAAAACAAGUAGACGACUUUAGCCAUAGAUGAGUAUGACAAAUGCCGUCGUCCAUUCAAAGAUUGUUUUUAAACGUAAUAACCGUUGACAUUUUUGCCUGUGGUAACUAUUAUAUAUAUUAACGGGUGCAAUAGCCAACAGCCAGAAUUGGCACCUCGAAUGAUCAGGGCCAAUUACACGACAAAGUCACAAAAGAAGCAGGAUGGAUAUCUUUAUUCCGGUCCAAGUGCAAGUUGGGGACGAGAAAUCUAAACCGUUCAUAAUGAAGCCAGGUAAAUAUUGAUAUCUCCACAUUGUCCCAUCAACUUUUUUAUAUUGCAAAAAUUUGUCGUAUAUGAAAAAAAAUUUGUAUUAAUUGAUACGCACCUCAAUUGCAUUAUAAACUUCUUAACUAAAUCUUGGACACGAUCUUUUGGCGCAACAGAUCUUCUGUCCCACGUCCUGUGCCACUCUCUGUCCCACUUUUUAUUAUAUUGCUAUUUCUCCUUCACAAACAUCAUGUUUUAAUUCCUUUUUAUUUCCUUAUGAUCCAAUAACUAUUAAUUAAGUAAAAAAUAAAUACAAUAGCUUCAAAAAACUAAUAUAUAAUAGAAAAUUAAAAAAUACAGCAGAAAAUUCAUAAAAAAUCUCAUUUUUUAUGCAUUUUGAUUUUUUGAGUUUGUUACAUUUUGUGUAUUACUCAAUUAAUAGUUAUUGGAUCAUAAGGAAUUAAAACAUGAUGUUUGUGAAGGAGAAAUAGCAAUAUAAUAAAAAGUGGGACAGAGAGUGACACAGGACGUGGGACAGAAGAUCCGUUGCGAUCUUUUGGGAACCAUUUUAUCUGCGAAAGAUCCCCUAUCUCACAUUCCUAUCCCACUCCAUGUCUCACUUUUCAUUAUAUUGUCAUUUGUGCUUCACAAAACACUUGAUUUCAUUAUUUUUUUUCCUUAACUUCUGAUAAAAAAUAUCAGGGCAAGAAACAAUUUACACCAAACUAAAAAAAAAAAAAAAUCUAAGAGAAAUACAGAAGAUUCAUGAAUUUUCUAUUGUUAAUUUUUUCUAUUAUAUAUAUAUCAUUGUUUUAACCUGUUGUAUUUUGCUUUUCACGGCGAGAUUCAUUAUUCGAAGUUAAGGGGAAAAAAAAAGAUAAGUGUUUUGUGAAUCACAAAUAACUAUACAAUAAAAGGUGAGACAGAAAGUGAAAAUAGAAAAAUCUUUGCACAUUUUAUCUCUAUACCACUUGUAUUAAAAUCAAACUAUACUCCAAUUUGGAUUACCAGAGAAAUGUGAGAAAAUAAAGAAAUAAUAAGGCUAUGUAAUGUAUUAAAAGCUGAAGUCUAAGUCCACUUACCACUUUUCCUACCACCUAGUUUUUCUUGUGCCCAACAAUUUAUACAACUGCUUGAUGCCCUGAUGUAUAUAUUUGAACAACCCUGGUAUGAUUGCGCUGGGGCACCUUGGUCUUAAAUUCAAAUAAAGGACCCUUUCCUAGUUGCAGCCCGUACGGACCUCAUACUAUGAACAUGCUGUACGGCCCCAACAGGGAAGACGACUUUCUUCUGCGUCUUAGAUUUUAAAAUCUACAAGUAUUUAAUGUGAAUUUAGGGAUGAGUAUGUGGGUUAAGUUCUAAGGCAUGGACUACAUAUAUGGAUCCAAGCAAAAGUAUGCAGGAAAUAUGAUAUUUUAAUUUUGGGUUGGGUCAAGAAGUCAGCAUGACUUUUUAGGUUCUUGUUUAGUUUUCUGAUCAAAUUUUCCUUCAAGUUGCAACUGUACAGCAAGAGUCUUGAUUAAGACGUAGAUGUCAAGAACUCCCUUCUGUCGUAAAUUUAGAUCUCAAUUUCCUGGAAACAUGAUCAGUUGGUAAUUAAAACGCAAAAUUCAUCCAGGCAUAAAACAGGAGCAAUAUGACAACAGUAGAGCUUUUCUGCAAAAAUUGAAUCACGGUAAAAAAAAAAAAAGCUCUGAGAAAAAUAUGGACCAAAUCAAUGCCCCGGGAUUAUAUUAGUCAGUCACUUCAUGGACUUGAGAAAAACUACAAAUUUGUUGAUUACCUUUUUCUUUUGGAUGAUUUGCUGGUUAAUUGUUGGGUUAGAUUCAAGUUGAUGAAGCAUCAAGCGCCCACUGAAUUUUAUAUAAAAAGUUGUCAACUUAUAACAUGUCUGCUUAGACAUAACCUCUUGAGCUUAUCUUAUCAACCCAACAAAUAAACAAAAUUGAAACUCCUCCUGUUGGAACUGGACUGCUUAUUUUAUAUGAUUCUCUUUCAAGAAUCAUUGCUUUGAUACCCAAAAAACUUUGAAGACCUCAAACAUUUGCAUCAACUAGUAACAGCCUUUGACAAUCAGCAUGCAUCCAAACCUGACCUGGUAUACUGCAUUAAAUAAUUGCCACCAUGUUUUUAAUUUCUGAUGGCGUUUUUUUCUCCAACUAAAAGAAAAAUCCCAAAAUCCCGGUCUCUGCUCAAGCUUCAAGCUUCGAAGCUGUUAACCACUUAACCAGGUUGUCAAGGAACCAAGCCUUAAUGAAAAUUUCAGCCUCGAUUUAAUUAACUAAGGCUCAAUUUGAAAACGAAAAUCAUUAGUCGCGCGUUGUCAACUUGAAAGGUGAAAAGCUAGUGAUGCAGUGAUGGAUUUCAACGCUCGUUUCCAUCAAAAUGCAAAAGCCAAAUGGACAUAAAAUUGAAUCCGUGCAGACCCGGCCCUCUACUUGGGAUUCAGUUGUCAAAUUAUGCGAAACCCAAAUGGACAUAAAAUCAAAGCUGUGCAUUGAUGUUAAUUGUGGAAAGUGGGUGUUUUUUGGGGAUCAAUUGUCAUUCCUUUACCGUCGAAUGCUUGUUUACUGUUAGUGUUUGGUUAAAAAUGCUAAGCCGUACGUCAAUGAGCAAAAUCAAAUGAUAUAUAGGUAUCUCAAAGAAACACAAGCGCCUGGCAACCACGCCAACAACGUCCUUGAUCUGGACCGGACAUCAACGCUUGAAAAGAUGAGGUUAUUCAGUUUUAACGUUAGAUGUGCUUUGGUACUACGAAACUGUUGAGAUUUUUUAGUCCAAGACGGGCGGAUCCUGUGCUUUACGAAGGUGGCCGGGAGGGCAUUGCCAUUCAAACUGCUCAGGACAACAUCCUGGCCUUGAACUCCAACUUCUUCCCUAUUUUACGACGUGGAUUGAGGACCAUUCGUGUUGCAGAUCAGUGUGCAAUUGCUAAAGAAGCUUCUCAGUUUGAUGGUUGAUGGAGAACUCAUGAGCUUCUAUUGCAAUGAUCAUCAUCGGCCAAAGACAAUAGUAUUUGUCAGAUUUAGCUCUGGUACCCUGAUGGUAAUUGAUGGAGGACAUCUCGUUGAGUCGUCUGAUUGUGAACGAUAUCAGUCCUCCAUAGACAAGGGUCACAGAAGUAUAGACCUAAAUGCUAAGAGGUUCCAUAUGGUGAUGUCCUCGUGGCAGUGUGCUCUAGGUAACUACUUCACAGUCCAAUUUUUAAUGUCAUGUUUCCUUUUUUUUUUUUUUUUUUUGGGUGUUCUGAAAUAACCAGUCAAUUCUAGAGCUAACAGACAAUAUUAGUUGAUUUCCAAUUUUGCCGAAUUUACCAUGUCAAUAGUUUAAAUUCAAAAAUUACAUCUGUAAAUUCAUCCUAUGGAACACAAUGAUUUACAUAUCUUUAUAUUAAAAAAAACUACUAUAUUAGUAGAAAAGAUGGAGUAUUAAGAAAUAUAAACUACACAAGCUUUAUUAUUAUAUAUAUGAAACAAUUUCAUGGUCAGCUUGUAUAGAAACCUCUAAAUUACUUAGAAAAUGCACGUACAUGCACAUGCAUUAGUGAUUAUCAAUCUAAAAUUUCUCUCAUGUUUUGAACUUGUAUAAGAAAAACAAUUCUUACUAAUCACUCAAGGAAAAGUAGUAACAUGCUAAUUUAACUUGAUGAUCUUGUAUUAUGUGUUCAUCCUUCCAAGUUUUAUUUCGAUAAGUUACAGUUUAAGACAUUAAAGAAGACUCAUAAAUUUUUUGUCGAAGAGCAAAAAAGGAAAAAAAAAAUGAAGCAUUUGAGAGUCGAAUUAGGUAUAUCACAGCCACCCGUUGCUAUCAACUAAACUAGGUCUUCCCUUAGGUUGGCAGUUCUAUUCAAUGGCUACCCGUUGAAAUGGUUGCCCCCAGCAGAGGUAUCCAGCAAGGAGACCCCAUCUCACCGUACCUUUUCAUCCUAUGCAUGAAAUUCUUAUCUCUAAGCAUAGAACAAGCUUCCUAUCCCACAUCGAAAGAUCGUGGGAUCUUUACUUUGGAUUUAAGGUCCACAGGGACCCUGUUCUGUCACCAAUUGGCUGAACAGUGAUUCUUUGUGAGUCCCUCUUAGAUUGUUUUAGGGCCGAUUUUUCGAUUAACUCUUGCGUUUGUUUAAAUUAGUGAUUCUUUGUGGGUUCCCUGCUUUAGGGCCGAUUUUUCGACUAACUUCUGCGCUUGUUUCAAUUAGUUGGAGACCAGAAAAUGGGAAGCUCUCAAAAUAGGAAGGAAUGGUCCCCUUUUAUCCCACUCCACUUUUGCAGACGAUAUUGUGCUCUUUUCCAACUGCUCAGAAGCUUCUAUUAGAGGAGUGAAGGAUGUCUUUGGCAAUUUCAACUUAAGAUCUGGAUUAUUUAUUAAUCCGAACAAGUCCAGGAUUUUUUUUCUCCAAAAUUGUGAGCCCACACUCGAAGGCCCAAAUAACUUCCUUCUUGAGGAUUGAUGAGACUGGAGAACUUGGAAGAUGCUUAGGAAUUCCCAUUGCUCAUUCUAGAAUCUCCAGCCAAUCCUUUAGCUUCAUUUUGGACAAGAUUCGGUCUAAACUUAGCUGGUUGGAAAGCUAGUCUCCUUUCUUUUGGGAAAUGGGGCAGGAAUGGCUGUCUUCCUAAAGGUUCACGGCCACGAUGUGGCCUCAAAAAUUUGUGCGGUUCAGAUUAUAGCAUGUAACUCGAUUUUCACGCCAUGUGUGAGACCCACAAAAAAUUAUAAAGUUACUCCAUGUGUAAAAAAAGUUACGCGAUGUGCAAAAAAUGUUACGCACUGUUGAAAAAUGCACAAACCGACACAAACGGUUACUGCCCUUGUCCUUUCUUUUGCUAGAAGGAAAGCAGUCAUCCAACAAGUUACCUUGGGCAUCUCCUCCUUCUAUGCCAAUUGCCCAUAGCACCCCGCUACCAACUGCAACUUGUGAAGCCAUAGAUAAAAUCCAGCAUGACUUCUUACGAGGCUUCACCCCUGAAAAAGAAAAUUGCACUUAGUCAGCUGGGAGCUGUUACUAUGCCAACGUGUCAGGGGGAACUUGGUCUACAAAAACCUCUUACGUUAAUAAAGUAGCAAUGGCAGGUCUUUGUUGGCGAUUAAUGCACACCCAACAGCAACCUUGGAGCCAUAUUCUACGCCAUAGGUAUACUAAUGAGCCCCAAUCCUGGCAACAAAGGAAAUUAGCACUUGGAAUCCUCAGUGACAUUUUUUCUAUGCCAACCCAAUGCCACCUAUAAAAUUGUGCAAGUGUUCUGUUAUUAUUUACACUUGUAUUAAACCAAAUCAAGUUGAAUUAUUAGAAAAUUAAAGUGUAAAUAAUAACAGGACAUUUGGCGCAAUAUUAUAGGUGGCAUUGAAUUGGCAUAGAGAAACAUGUCACCGAGGAUCCCAAGUGGGAAAUUAGUGCUAUCAUCAAGACAAGGUUCCAUCAAUCAAAAAAUGCUUUACCUUAGGAAGGAAGUUUAUAAUAAAGGGUUGGGAUAAUAUUAGAUACCUCCCUUGAAAUUUUUUCUAAUAUCACCUAACACCCCUAAAAUUAUACAAAUAUUACUUACUGUGACAGACUCAUCUUCCCCUAAGAUGUACUCCAAGGGUUAACGGACUACCUAUCCAACUAUCAUCAGGAUUCACUACCCAAAACGAUCAACACAACUUCAAAACAUCACAACCCAAUGUUAUAUAUAAUAGAGUCACUAUCGAUUCAAACUAAGAGCACAAGUCAAAGUUUUCAAUCUUACAUGAGUACAUAUAAGGUUUACUAAUACAAAAGAGUUUAAACAAAACGCCUAAGGUCUAGUACUAGAGUUCAAACUCUUCCCAAAAUUACCAAACCCAAAUCUUCACACUUGAAUGUUCAAUAAGAUACCACAGGGUCAUGCAGUCAGAAAUAAAACGAAAAAACAAAAUCACAUAGAUCGGUCAUUAAGUUAUCAAACAGAAGUAGCAAUUUAAAGAGACAAAUGAACACCACAACCAACAUAGAGUGAUUCAGGUAAAAGGAUAUAGUUAGAUCUCGAGAGCUAAAUUCCCAAUCGCAAUAGUUUGAUCCAAACCCGUUGACACUCCGUCAACAUUUAGAGAAGCAGAAACAUUGUCUGUGGAUCACCGCUUUACACCAAUUUCUGUCCACCAUUCAUUCUCUUUACCGGGCCCAAACACCAAACAGUGAAGGUAAUAUUCGAGUAUACCAAAUUUCGGAAUAAAAUCAGAACUCAGUGAAUCAAUAACAAUUUUCCCACGGCCUGUCAAUUUAUCUCGACCAAACCUUUGCCAGUUCGAUUCGAUUAACUAACCAAUGAGAUUUGGGCCCAAAUUCACAGUGUGGUCAUUGGAUAGUAUGUUCCAAAUGACAUUCAAAUAAAACACAAGUAAUAAAUUUCAAAUGAACAGUAGAACAAUCACCAAUCAAGUGGGAUCGAGUGUGAUAAGGUACACACCCCGUCCAGCCAAGAGUAAAUCAAAGUCACGAUCAAACAAUCAUAACUUUCAAUCACAUAGUAGUUCACCUAAGUAACAAGUCAUAUAGGUGGUACACUCACCAGUUCAAAGCAGAACAAUGUUAGACGUUUGUUUCCCAGUUAUUCUUGUUCACCGACAAACCCUAAGAGCAAUCAAGAUAAAAAAAUAUUAUGAUCUAACCAUCCAAAACUUAGGUGAACCAAGGAAAAAUUCAAAUAUAUAUUGGGGCAAUGAUUCAAAUAUAAUUUUGGAGUGAAAAGAAAGCAUUUAAACCCAAAAAACAUGAGCAACCAAAGGAAAAAAAUAUGAAUUUAUAACUCAUGAAACUCAGCAAAACAUACAUAAAAUAUACACACGACUUUUGAAAGAAAAACGACCAAACUCGAGUUUAAAGUCGGACAAGUACAACUAGAAAACACGCUUGAAACAACCAUUACUUUCCUCCUUAUAUCAUAUAUGAUUUUUGACAAAAAUUCAGUUUAUGCGUCACAACCAAGGUGGAUUUAAGCAACCAUAAGUAACAUAAGUCCAACAGACCAAAAAUCACACCUCUACGCUCACUCUUAUUCACUUACAUCAAAGACAGGGAAAAAAAAAACCAGCAGCAUCUCCCCUAAUUUCUUUAAGUUUCUUCUGCAAAUUCAAAGUUUAACUUCAUGGCAAAUCAACUUUAAUCAAAACCACAAGUUAUAAAAUAUAAGAGGUACUUGUUCUAGACCACAAAAUUAACUAAACUCACAUAUAAACCAUAUCAAAACUGAAAAUGAACCUUAAAUUGAAAUUUACAAACAAAAGUUGAAAAUUCAUAUAUUGAAACCAAAGUACAUACAAAAAUUGAAAAUUUCUCAUAGCAAAACUGAAAUUAGCAUUUCCAGACUAGAAUUUCUCGAUCAAUGCUGGAAAUUUCGAACUACUUCACAAAAUUAUGAAAUUUUUCAUGAAACCUACCAUAAUCAAGUUAUAAAUCCAUUCAAGUGUAAAAUAAAAGAGAAAAUGUAAUUUCUUGACAUGAAUAUCUUCAAACCCUAAGGAGAAAUGCAAACAAGAGUGUUCUUUUCCCCAAAUUACUCCACACAAGCUUUCCCUCCUUCCUUGAUACAACUUCCUAUACGGAUUGGAUUAGGGUUUUAGGAUGAAUUUCUAAAGGAAUCAAGUGAGAAAUCAAGUUGAAAAUUGGAGUUUUUUUUCUCUCUCUUUUCUCUCCUUAGAGGUUCAGCCAAGAGCAAGGUAAGAAUGAGAGGUUUUUGGUUCAAAUUUUUAAGAUAAAGUCAAAGACUAAUCUUGUCGAGAGAGGUUUAGAUCGUCGACAAGUGGCGGCUUAGGGUUUCAAGCUUAUCUCUUUGUCUUUCCUUUGUCUCUAAUCACUAAUCUAUAUUGUUUUCCUCUAAUUCACUCUUAACACUUCUAAUCACAUAAUCUUUCUUGCCAAAUACCUAUUUUUGUCCACCAAAUUUAUUACACAACUCACUAGUAGGUCUCACUUUCAUAAUGCACUACAAACUUAACAUGUACUAACUUAUAGAAGAAAAACAAUAAAAUAUUGACUCACUUAUAAAAGUAUCUAAGAAAUUAAGGCAAAUAAACUAAAGUAAAAGAAAACGUAUUUAAAGAAAUAAGAUAAAAUAUAAAAUAAUUUUCAAAUCCUCACAAGUCCUUAUACUUACCUCCCAUAGUAAUUGCAAAAAAACUAUAUUAACUCUCACUUCAAAUAUAAUUCACAUAUCAAAUAAAAGGAGCUAAAAAUUAAAAAAAGAAAAAAAAGUCAUUUUUCUCUUUUUCUUUUCUUCAAUAUUCUCUCUUACUUAUUUUUUUGGAUGACUACGCAAUUUUAUUUGUAAAUUAUAAAUAAAUUGAAAUUGGUUAUCUUUACUAUUUAUAAUUGUGAUAGAGUGGGGUAUGAUUUAUUUGCUUAUUUUGAAUUAUUUUUUAUAAUGAUCAGUACAAUUCAAAAGUUUGGGCACCAGUUGAGAAGAAGUUGGAAAAAAAGAUAAAGUUCAUAAGAAAUCAAUUUUGAGCAUACAAAGUUAAAUUGGUCAACUAUAUUUCUUUGCAAAUAUUUUUAAAUAUAUAUUUUUAUGGACUAUAGUAUUAUGAUGUGGUAGUACUACUAGAAAUUAUUUUUUAAAUGGUAAUUUUCUUGAAGUAAAUAAAGAGAUCUAGGAAUAUUUUUAUUUAACAAGUAGAAGGGUAAUUUAGGAUUUUUUAAAAUUUUGUUACACAAAUAACGAAAGUAUGAGAGAUAAGUGAUAUUUUAAAAAUUUUAAGGGUGUUAGGUGAUAUUAAGAGAAAUUUCAAGAGAGGUUUCUGAUAUAAUCCCUGAAGGGGUUGGAUGAACUAUUGGGAAUGGAAUCCUGGCCAAAGUUUGGUGGAUGAUUUGAUGGGCCUAGCCCUUUAAGACUACUCAUCUCGAGGCCUUUUGAUGAAAGGAAAGAUAGAUUAGUAGUUAACCACUUGAUUGGCGAGGGCUCCACUUGGAAUCGAAACCAACUAUCUUUCAUCUUAUUAGAGAGGAUUGUUCAUAUAAUAAGGGCUAUUCCAAGGUAGCAAUGGACUAAUAUGGAGGAUUCCAUCCGAUAGAAAGCCAAUCUUAAUGGGUAGUUUGGCCUGAAAUCUGGUAUCGAGAGACUGUGCUCUAAUAGGGAAAACUUCAGCCAAAGUGAUCUUUCUUGGAUCUGGAAAGUGAAUGCAAGCAAUAAAGUCAAGAAUUUCCUUUGGCUGGCAUGUGGAGACAAACUCCCUACCAAAAGUAAUCUUCAUAGGAGAAAUAUUCUACAAGAGAAAGCUUGUCCUUCAUGCAAUCUCACUUAUGAAGACAUCUUUCAUGUUCUUGGCCAUUGUUAGAGAGCAACAAUUUUAUGGGCUAAAUUGUCCCUGCCACACCAAUUGUGGCUUAUGGAGAACUAGCUCCUUCAUAAAUGGUUGAAGAGCUCUUGCUCAAAUUCCACAAUUUCUCCUACUACCAUUUACGCGUGGGCAACUAUAAUAACCUUUGGUUGUUGGAUAUUGUGGAAAAAGAGAAAUAUGCUGCUGUUUGAGCCACAUAACCUUCUCAGAGAUUCAGCUAAAGAUACAUUAGCUACCGUCGCUGAAUAUCUCAGCAUGGGACCUGGCACUAGCAAGACAUCUCGUUCUAAAGAGCUGAUCCCUAUCUGCCGAGAUCCACAUCCUCUCAACUCUUUUAAACUGAAUACUGAUAGGUCCUCCUUGGGAAACCCAGGUCCAACUGAAGCAGGAAGCAUUAUGCGGAAUCAUUUUGGAGAAUGGGUUUCAAGCUUCACUAGAAACCUGGGAUAGGCCACAAAUACAACAGUUGAACUUUGGGUGCUGAGGAACGGAUUGUCCCUAGCAAAAUCUCUUUACAUCCAGCACUUACAUAUGGAAUUGAAUGCAAAAAUCUUAGUUGAUAAGCUAUUUACUAAGAAUUGUCAGACUCACUUCGCCUCCCCUUUUCUUUCUGAUUGCAGGACUAUCAUGCAGAGCUUUCAAGCCUGUACUAUUAGACAUGUUUUCCGCAAAGCUAAUAGAUGUGCGGACUUUUUGGCAAAAUUGGGCACUGAAACUUCUGAAGAAUUUAUUUUGUACCCCUCCCCCCUAUACCCUUGUUUAGGAUUUCGAAUGAUGAUGGUAGGGGACUCUACUUAUCCCAGCUUGUAAACUCUUAAGCUUUAAUUAAUUUCUAUCCCUAUUCUUACAAAAAAAAAAAAAGUUUAUCUGGGGACAUAAGUCAAAAAUUCAUGCAUAUCCUAAAGGAUAAUUUCAGAAACCUUCCCUGAAAUUUUUCACAAUUUCACUCACCUUCCUUCAAGUUUGAAUAAUUAUACUAACAUCUGUUUAUGUAGUAAAAUGACUAUAAUAUCUUUCAUUUAUAGAAAAUUCUACAAAAAAAAAUCUACAACUACAACUAGUUUUUCAUUCUAAAACAACGACUACCACACAAAAUAAAUUCUUAUUCUCUCUCUUACCUUCUUUUUCCUAUUUCUCAUAAUCCACUAGUUUUAUACCAUCUAUACAACUAUCUAAUACAUCUUGAAUCCUCAUUAUUAUGGAAAAUAGAUCCUUCUUUUUUUUUUUGCCUUUUUUUGUCAAUAUUAUUGAAUUAAAAUUGCUAAAUGACAAAUUGGCGAAUCAAAUUUGUUGUCAAAGUAAAUGAAGAUGAAAAGGACGGCGGUGAUACAGAGUACGGAUAAGAAAAUAAAAGUGAUAGCUAAAAAGGGAACAUGAAUUAAGGAAGGUUACGUUACUAUGCCAAUUGUGUAUAAAGAAUUUUGGGAUAUAAAAAUUGCAAUCAGAUUUGCCAAGAGACAUGGAAUGUGGCCUCUAGUCUGUUUUUGGUUGUUUCAUGUUGACAUUCCUGGUGGGUUAGAUUAUUUUAGUAUCAAUAAGGUUGCAGCCAUUUGUAUUGAGUUUGGAUAGUAGCAUUGAUCAAUUCAAACAUUGAAUUUAGGCAAAAAAAAUUGAGGGUAAAGAUUAGGUUGAAUGCAAAUUUUAAUUGUCACAGUUGAUUUGCAUAGGAAACUAUGAGACGGCAAUGGUAGGCUGUCAAAAUCGUGAGAAUAUGAAAAUUAACCUGAAGUGGUUUAUUAAGUUCGUGAGGGUGAUGAUUAUAACGUUUAUAAUAGUUGCAAUUCAAAGAAAUUUAUUAGUGAGCUUUUGCCUAUUCUAAGUAAUAAAGGGGUAUUUUAGGAUUUUUUAGAACAAAUUUAGCAUACUGGGUCUAUAUUGUUAUUGAAAUGCUAAUCAUAGAGAGGAAGGUGUAAUUUUUUAAACUAAAGGGGAGCCUCCUGCAGUAAUCAAAAACCUUAGCGGAGGUUUUUCAAAUUAUCCCUAGGGAAUUUCGCCAUUUCGUCCCUAAACUUUUACAUUAAAACCAAUUUCGUCAUUUAUGAUUUUUUUUAGCUAAUUUAGUCCUUUGACUAUUUUGAAUUUCCAAUGUAGGACUUUUGCGACGGUGACACCACAUUUUACAUAUUCUGUACAACGGUGAUGGGUAUAUCUAUCAUUUUAAAUUAGAUUCUUUAAUUUAGACGGAUCUUUGACCAUAGUUCUUCUUCUUCGAUGAAUUUCACUGAAAAUUUCAUUUGGAUUUAUUGGAAACUUGCAGAAACUCUCUCUCACACACUCAAAUCAAGAAACAAAAUCCAUGAGAAAAAAAUAGAAAACCAAGAACCAAAAUGAAAAUUGAAGCAAAAUUUGAAAGAGAAAUCUCUCUCAUACACAAUUUUAAAUCUACUCACCGGCAAACUCAUUUUGUUUGGUUCUGAUUCUUCGAUCCUCCAUUCAUGGUUGCUAGCAAAGACACCACCAAUUGUCACUACCGAUCCACUUUCAUCCUUCAACUCUCUCAUGACUAGUCAUCAUUCAUUUUUCAUCUUGAGUUUCAUAUGAACUCAUAAGAAUCUCUCCAAAAUCCUUGUGGAAUCUUAGUUGUAGAGUUGUAUACUCCAUUUUAUUUCCAAGAAAAGAACCAAAAACAGAAAACCAACAAAAACAUUGAGGGAAUCCAAGGUGCAAGGGGAGCUCGCUGCUGCUGCCAGCAUCAGCAUUGCCGGAGUUGCUAUCGUCUUGCUAGAACCACCACUACUUACAAAUCAUCAUGACGAAAGCACUGUGAGGUUUCCAUAAUCCUUUUUUUCUUUUAAUCUCUAGGUUGAGAUGAUUUUCUUGGCCUUUGAAAUUGCUAUCUUUUUCCUGUAUGCUUUGUUUUGUAGAUGAAUGAAAUUGGACAGUGAUACUUGCUGCAAUUUCGUUGUUUCUUUUUCACAUUUUCUACUUAAAUGAGGCUUGACAAGAUAUUUUUCGACUCAGCCAUAGUCAAAUUUCAUACAAAAAUAUUCAAUUUUUGUGAUGACCUUAAUCUGUUUGACAAAAUGUCCAAACGAAAUGAGUUUGUGAGUAGGUCCGAGAGUAUGUUUGAGAGUCAUUUCUCUUUUAAAUUUUGCUUCACUUUCCUUAUGGUUCUUGAUUUUAUUUUUUUUGUUUAUGAUUUGAGUGUGUGUGAGAGAGAGUUUGUGCGAAUUUCUGGUGAAUGGAAUGAGAUUUCCAUUGGAGAAGAAGAACAAUGGUCAAAGAUCCAUCUAAAUUGAAGAAUCUAAUUUAAAAGGACAAAUAUAUUCAUCACCGAUUGUACGGAAUAUGUAAAAUAUGGUGUCGCCGCUGCAAAAGUCCUACGUUGGAGACUUCAAAAUAGUCGAAGUACCAAAUUGGCUAAAAAAAAUCAUAAAUAACAAAUUUGGUUUUAAUGUAAAAAUUUAUGGACGAAAAUGGCUAAAUUCCUUAUCCCAAUACUAUAAUUAGUAUCUCAAAUAUGGUAUACCUUUUCAUCAUGGUCCAAGUGGACCAGCAACGGAAACAGAAAAAUUUUCCUUAUUGGCCCAGCCGAUCUGUUUCAUUUCCUGGCAAUCAAUCGGCUCAACUGCUGAAUUGUGACUGAACUCCAUCCAGAAUAAAUAAAUAACGGCCGUAAAGACUAAAAAGUGAUCUUUGACAGCAGAAGGGAAUAUCCAGUUUAGAGAGUAAAAAAUCCAAGCUUGAAACAUCAACACUGAUGACAUUGUCUGGAAAUUUGCAUCAACCAUGGAUUUCAAUACUUCCUUUCUCUCCACAAUUCAAAACCCAAAUGGACAUUAAUCAAAUUCAUGCAAAAUUACUAACCACUGGCCUCAUCAAGAAUCUUUACUUGACCCGAAAACUUAUCCUCAAAUUCUCAAACUCACCACACAAACCCCUGAUACAGUUUGCCAAAUAUCUCUUCUUCUCAAGUCAAGCCUUCGACGACUCACGAAAUAAAGCUGACCCAUUGAUUUGGAAUUCAGUAGUCAAGAUCUAUUCGCAUGGCAGUGACCCUGAGAACGCUUUGAAAGUGUUCGUUUUAAUGCUUGAAAGUGGGGUUUUAGUAGAUGAGUACUCUCUUUCCUUGGUGUUAAAAGCGUGUUCCAGAGUGGGUUUGGUUAAAAAUGGGAUGCAGAUACAUGGGUUGCUGAAGAAAUGCGAAUUUGGGUCUGAUUUGUUUCUUGGAAACUGUUUGAUCUCCAUGUAUGUAAAAUGUGGCUGCAUAGAGUAUGGUCGCCAAUUUUUUGACAGAAUGGCUGACAAAGACUCUGUUUCGUAUAACUCAAUGAUUGAUGGGUACGUGAAAUGUGGGAUGGUAGAUUUUGCACGUCAAUUAUUCCAUUCUUUGCCAGCAGGGAUGAGGAACUUGAUAACUUGGAAUACUAUGAUCGGUGGGUUUGUGAAGUUAGGGGAUGGUUUUGAGUCGGCGUGGGAGUUGUUUGAGAAAAUGCCUGAGAGAGAUGUUGUUUCAUGGAAUAUGAUGAUUGAUUGUUGCAUAAAGAGUGGGAAAAUGAGGAUGGCCCAAAUGUUGUUUGACACCAUGCCGAGAAGGGAUGUUGCCAGUUGGGCUAUUAUGAUUGACGGUUAUGCCAAAAGCGGAAGUGUUGAUGUUGCUAGAGGCUUCUUUGAUGACAUGCCAGUAAGGGAUGUAAUUUCUUGCAAUGCAAUGAUGGCAGGGUACCUAAGGAACGGUUCUUAUGUGGAAGCACUAAAAAUGUACCAUGAUGUGUUGAAUAAUAGUGAUUUUGAACCUGAUAAAACUACUUUCUUGAUUGCUCUUUCAGCAGCUGCACAUUUGGGCAACAUCAAUGAGGGGGUUACCAUACACAGUCAUAUGAAGAAUAAUGGUCUUUUUGCAGCUGGAAAACUUGGUGUUGCUUUGAUAGACAUGUAUGCAAAGUGUGGGGACAUCGAUUGUGCUUUGAGCGUAUUUGAGGACAUCAAAGAGAAAAGUGUUGAUCACUGGAAUGCUAUGAUUGGGGGAUUGGCUAUUAAUGGCUUGGGUGAGCUAGCUUUUGAUAUGUUCAUGGAGAUGGAGAGGCGUUGCAUAGAACCAGAUGAUAUCACUUUCAUUGCUUUGCUUAAUGCUUGUGGGCAUGCUGGCAUGCUUAAAGAAGGUAUUAUCUGCUUUGAAAUUCUAAGAAGAGUCCACAACAUGGAUCCGAAACUCCAACACUAUGGGUGUAUUGUAGACAUUCUUAGCCGAGCAGGACAUAUAGAGGAAGCCAGGACAUUUGUCAAGGAAAUGCCCAUUGAGCCCAAUACUGUGAUUUUGCGUACUUUAUUGGGUGCAUGUAAGAAUCAUGAAAACCUAAGCACUGGGGAGCCUCUUGCUCAGCAUCUAAUUGGACUGAAUUCCCUUAACUCAAGUUCAUACGUCCUUUUGUCAAAUAUAUAUGCUCAACUCGGUUUGUGGGACAGUGUUAGGUGUAUCAGGACAAUAAUGAAAGCAAAGAAUGUGAAGAAAUUCCCUGGCUGCAGUUGGAUUGAACUUGAGGGAUUAGUUCACGAGUUCUUUGUUGGAGAUACAUCCCAUUUUCAAGUUAAAGAGAUUUUUUCUACGUUGAACAGAUAGAUUAGUUGAAGCUAUGAGGCUUUGAAGCCUUGAAAUUUCUCGAUAUCAAAAAUGGGAAGCACAAUGUGAAUAAGUAGAUAAUUCUGUAGCCAUAACAACAUAUUCUCUGCUUCCGUCAAGGAUAUCCACAUCCGCUGUUUCUCCUUGAUGCCAUACAGCAGCUAUUUUUUUCUCAUCCCAAGUUCAUGUACAACAUGCAAAGUUCACUUAGUAUCUUGUAAGUUUAUGAUGCAUCUCGAGAAAGCAAUUGCAAGAAAUUUCAAGUUACAAAGCUUACUUCAGUUUGUCUUUUAGUUGUUCCAUUCUUAUUUAUGAAAAAGAAGAAAAAAAAAGUAAGGUUGAAAAGACAGUAGGCAGGUUUGUGUUGCUAUCUCAUAACAGCCAUUUUUCAUCCAAAAAUUAUAUCAUUUUCGUAAUUAUAUUUUUUUAUUAUUAUUUUUUUAAAUACAUCAAAUCGUUACAGUAAUUUUUUUAUAAAAAAUUUAAAAAAAAUACAAUCCAAACAAGUUUAGAUGUUACUGGGAAACUUAUCCAGUGACAGAAACAUCAAAAUCGCAUUUGUCAUAUAUCUUUGAUAUUUCAGCAAUUUCGAAGAAUUAUCUUAAUAACAUUCACAUGGUCUACAAGUCCGAUUCAAGAUGUAAUGUCUGCCUGCAUGCUGCAUCAUUACGAAACAUCAGAAAAGUCAAACUCCACAGCUCCACAGCUAGACAACCGGACUACCAAUUAGUAG
rnacentral:lncRNA from 1 species